rnacentral:lncRNA from 1 species
UGCGACGAUCAUCAACCCGUUCUCUCUUGGAUACAUGCGAGGAAAUGUUAAACUUGACUGAUGAUAUAGCUUAUUUAAUCGGGAUCCAUGUGAAGCCAGUAUGCGUAAUAGCACUUACAGAUAAUACGAGUACUUUUCAUGAUUACAGACAACAGUGGUCUUAAAUAAGCAAAAUCAUAUUGAACUCAUAAAAGAGCUUGGAACUGGAGGUACUGGGACUUCAAUAGCUCCUUCCAACAUCUGAGUAAUUUUCUUCAUGGUUGGCCUCAAAGCCGGGUUUUCCUGGAUGCACCACAAUGCUGUCAUCACAAAUCUUUUCACCCUCUUUAUGUCGCUUGAUGCCUCCUCAUCGCUCUCCACUAACUGAAGCCAUGUUUGAUGAAACUGGCGUGCUCCUUGAGUUGAGCUACUUCGGCCUUAUAGAGAUUUCCUACUUUCCAACCUACCAGAGUCUCGCUCGUACGUCCCGUCGGUGAGAGAGGCGACCAUUCCUCCCCCGCUUUGAUGCGAUUGCUCCUCCUUUUUCUCCACAGCAAGUUUGAACCAAAGUUGUGGACGGCCUUUGCCCAUGUCGACUCAUAUCAUAUAUCUAUCACUAUCUUUGACCAAAAACAAAACACAUAUAUCUAUCUAAAAUAAUGAUUUUCCCAUAUGGUCUGAAGAAGCUCCACCUGUAGUAAAAGGAAAGGAUUAAUUAAAAUAGGAGGUGAUAUUUGUACAUAUAUUUUAUUACUAAAUCUUUUUUUUUUUGCAUUAAUAAACCAUUUCUUUAACGGCAAUCAAUAAACCAUUUUAAAGUUUAUAAUGAGUAUUGAUUUUUUACUUGAUUUUGUUUCUCUUUUCUUAAAGUAUUUUAAUAGUUCUAUUGAUAUAUUCAUCAAAUUUUCUUCAAAAAUUCUUAUAUUAAUAUCAUCGAUUUAAUUUUUCUAAUAAUAAUAUCUCUGUGAAUUUAUCUUUCUUCAUUUUCUUUAUUUUUCUUUAUAUAUAUAUAUGGAAAUCAAUGGUGAAAGAGAACUUGUCAAACUUAGAAAAAGGCGCCCCCGCUCCAUCAGCUUGACCGGACCCAGAUACCUUUCAAGGAACGCAACUUGGAAAACACCAAACUUCGUUGUACAUGUUAGUUGGAGAUUUUUUGAGAUGAAAGUGAUGGAAGAAGAAGGCAGGGCCAGCAGUCGAUUCAAUCCCCAUGAAUUCAACCGACCACAAGUUGCUCCGCGGAAAUUGAAUAUGCUCGAAGGUAGGUGGAAAUUUGCAUUGAGCACGUGACCGAUCAAAUUCUUCCGGCAGCGGCAUUGUGCGGUCUUGUGCAACUUGGAGAGGAAUGAUUACAACAAUAAUGAACGAAAUUGAUUCAGCAGACACUCUCCAAAAGUUUGCAUCCAGGAAUUUCGAGUUUUGAAACCGAUACGUUGGGCUAAAUGGAUGUCACGGUGACAUAAAGAUAUCAUGCUCGUGGAGUUUACAACAUCAUGCAAUACUUACCGCAUAUAAAAGCAAUUUGGUUUCCAUCUAGUAUAAGUGAUCCGUUCACAAAAGGGGGAGUGUUCCUGUAUAUAAAUUACUGCAUAAGAGGUAACUAUCUACAGUUUUCUGCACAUCUUUGAUCUUACUGUCAAAGAGUCCUCUGCAACUUCAGCAUAUCAGUCACGGCAGAAGUAUUCCCGCGCCACCGUGAUAAUGCCAGCCAAAACUUCCUGUUUAUACAUUCGUCCCGCAAAUAAAUUACAACCCGCCGUUUUCGACAAUGCUCGACUAGUAAAGCGAAGGGCUAAUUUUCCAGGGUUUGUAGGGUUCGAUCAAGGGCCUGAGCUUAUAAUGAGCAGCUUCCAAUAAGCUCCGUGCUGCAUGAAUCCCAAAAAAUCUGGCCUGAUCGAGUAGGAAUUUUCCUGGAUAAAUUCCCGAAUGCUCAAUGGGCUAUGCUAGAAUAGUUUUAAUAGGCGGGGAAACUGUAGUCUUAAUUUCUUCCAUCUGCUCCUAAUGAGUGUCGGGUGCAAUGCCAACACGUGCUCAGGCAUAAAAUCAUGUCUUGUCAAUAUGCCCACCACAGGCGAUCUCUGAAUUAAAAUAGCGUCGAGAUUAAAAUAAAAACAUAGAAGAACAUGUUCAACUAGAGCAGAAUGCUAUUGCAAUAAUUAAGCACCCAGUCGCAUUGAAGUAUCGCACCAAAUGCCCACAAGAGACGAGAUGAAAAAUCAAUUGUGAUCUCUCACCAUGAUCCACUCUGAUUUUCUAGUGAAACUAGGAAGCCACCAAAUGUCAAGUAGCCAUAUAUACAGAAAUUCAGCUAAAUGGAAAUUCAGCUAAACGGAGAGGAAAACAUCUUAGUGCAAAGCUGAGCUAGAGAAGCUACAGAAGUAUUUGGCAGUCCUCACCAAAAAGGGUCAAACUGGAACAUAAGAAAGAUAACCGAGUAAAAUAAGAAUGGAAGAGGUGAGGGUGAGAAAAUCAAGUAUGUGAGGCCAAGGAAGAUGGUAUUAAUGUGAUUCUGAAAAAUGGUCCAAUUUGCUGAAAAGGAGGAAGGCAUCAGUGUUUUUCAUAUAUCGUCAAUUGCUCCAACCAAAAAGAAAAAGUCCAUUUUGCAAGUAGACACAGGACUAGAGCCAUGAGCAAAAUCACUGAAUGAUGGGGUAGUACUCUAUUUAAAUUAACAGUAGAGUAUUUCGAUGCCAAAAGACAAAAAGAGCGAUAGAAUAGCUUUUGAUAGAAUUAAAGAAGUGAAAAUGAGAGCUUACGCCAGAGAUUUUAGGUUAUCACCAGUAGAUGUCUCAAGCCAACUUCCCGGAAAAGUAUGAGAGCCUUCGCAAGUGACAUUGUCUCCACAACCGUGUAAGGUGAAGCAUUAGUAAAAGGAUGUAAAUCCAAGAACAUCUCCAUCUCUUCUUCAGUCAAGUCUAUAUCUUCUAUCAUGUUAUAAUGACCUGAUCCCCUCUUCAUGAAGUCCUCUGCUGAAAUCUGCUCAAAGGCAUCAAUAUCCGUCGGAACUGGAUCAGACAAAAAAGCUUUCUUCUUUAAAAGCUCCAUCAGAUGAGCACAGAGAAUUAAACCAUACAGAAAGGGGGACUCUGAAUGUGGAGGUUCAUCAAUUACAGGAAACCCGUUGUGCCUUGUAGUUCGCAACACAUGUACCACAUUAGCGACCUUCUCGAUGCCAUGAAACAGCUGAAGGGGCCCACUCACUACAUCACCAACUGUUAAUUGUCUCAUAUAUGGCUCGGCAUGGGUCUCAAGGUAAGGAAAGCCCUUUGCUUUCGUGAUAAGGUCAUAGAUGUUGCCGUUGAAAGCAUCAGCUACGGUCUUUGAAAUAAGAAGAACCACCAUCAUCAAGGGUAGCAACAGCAGAUUGUUCAUCAGUUCCAAAAGGAUUACACAUAGAGAAACCGUCAUCCUCAUAGAUCCACCAAGAAAAGAAGCAGCACCCAGCUCAGCAAAAAGACCAUGGUUAAGAUUGGAAUGAGAACCAAUCAACAUUCCAACCAAACGCCCAUAAGAUGCACCAGUAACUAUUACAGGAACGAAAAGGCCAGCAGGAGCGACAAUGCCAUAGCUAAGUAUACUCAAGAAAUAACAUGUGACAAAGAACAUAAUUAUAGAAGAGUACUGGAACUCGUCAUCCGUGCCCUUGCUAAAGAGUUUUUUAUUGCAUCAUCAUUUGUGUUCAAUAUUAGGCUGGCAAGAUCAUUGUAAUGUCCAGGAGGACAUUGAAACUUCUUGUAGUUGCCAGAUCGGCCUAUUGUGGGACAGGCUUCUCCAGCAUCAGCCGGACAAACUCGACAAGAUGCCAACCACGGUAGUCCAAACAAGAGACACGACGUGAAAAUUGAAAUCCAGCAAGCAAGCACAAUUUUGUAGGCAAUGCCCUUUCUGAAAGAACAAGGUCAUUGUUGUAAUCAGUUUAUCGUUACUGCAUAAUCACAUACUUGCGAUUACUGAGAAGAAAAGGGAAGAGAACUUACUCGUUGAUGAGGUUGUAGACAUGAAGAACCUUCUCCAGGAAGAAGUUAUACAAGCUACCCAACAAUCCACCUAUCAUACCAAGGAGAAGUACAGGAGGUACAUCAACAAUGUGAUAGGCAACAUUUGAUGAGGUAACAUAAUACAUUAUCAGCCCUCCUUUACCAAAAAGCCCACAUUUCCCACUCAAACAGACGUCAAUGAGAGCCCUCAGCACAAUUGCCACUACAGCUGUAGUAAAGAAAGCUCUCCAUACCAGGGCACUUCUCCACCUGUAAAAGAAAAUAAAGAUUAUGCCAUGCAAAGACAUCACAUAUUUCCAUGGAAUAUAAAAUACUUCAAGGUCUCAGAUAGUCAAUAAGCUGCAGCGAUACAUCUCGAAACCAGAUAAUAAGUGCAAGGAGAGAGUGCAAACACAGCCAAGAACCAAAAACAGGGAGAAACAAACUGGCUGAUAGAACAGAAAGGAAGCCCAGAAUCAUCUCUUCCUGGUAAUCAGAAUAAGUUAAAAUAGGAAUUUACAUAAACCGUUAAUAUCAGAAAACCAGAUUUCUGUACUCGACCAGCAAUUUUUCUCAGCUUUUCAUAACUAAGAUAAAUAUGAUCUGCUAACAAGUCCAAUAUCCAGGACUUUAAGAACAAUGAGAUUUUGCAUUGCAAGGAUUCUAAUUGCUAAAAUAGACAAAUGGAGACAUCAGAAGAAAGCAGUGCAUCACAACAAUUCAUCAUACCAAGAUGCCAUCUCUUCAAGGGCGAACAGCAAACCACCAACUGGGGCACAAAAUGCAGCAGCAAUUCCAGCAGCUGAUCCACAUGUUACAAGGUCUAGCCGAUCUCGAUCAUUCUUGAAAUACCGAAGCCACUUCCAAGUUAAACCAUAUCUCUUUGACCCACCUUGACCCAAUAGUGAUGCGAUACAAGCACCAGUGUGCACCAAGGGUCCAGUCUUGCCAACAAGAAGAGAUGAUGACACCGCACAAACGCUCCCAAUAGUCUGUCGAUUGGAACAUGCCCCAUAAGACUCUCACAAACUUAAGGGAGAACAUCCUUAAAGGCUAUGCCUUAAAAGACAAAUUAGCUGAACAGUUACACUUCCAGGAAUAGGGGAAAAUAUGCAAAUAAAGCUUGAACUAGCACUGACAUCGCAAAUUGAACUGUAAAAGAAUCCGUCGAACGUAGUUGUUUUUGUUAUCCAAAAUAUUUAUAUUCCUGAAGAUAGUCAAAAUUUCAAAAGGGCUUGUAAUUUGAGGGUUUUAGGUAAGUUCUAUUUUAAGGAUACUCCUCUUCUAGGUCAGCCAAAACAAAUUUUUGUCCUACAUAUUUCACUGGUCUCAAGGAAGUCUCUAGAAGAAUCUCUGGGCCAGUAAUCGUCAACGAGCUAAUCAGAAAUAAUGGGUAGAUUCAUCCUCACUGCUUUAAGAGAGGGGAGUACAGAGAAAAGACGAGAGGGAAUAAUUAAUAGAUUAAAUAGAUGAAGACAAAAACAUACGAGAUAACAAUGGCAAUGUUCAAUAGAUAUCACACAUGCCAAUCUGUAAAAGAUCGUGUUAACUCAAAUGGCAACUCUUUUACAAGCAUAACCAUGUUUAUACUCUCUUACAAGCCAAUCAGGCUCUGCUCUCACAUCCAGGAUAGGAAGAGAUGCUUAUGGAAACAUCAAUAAGGAAAUUUUAAGAAAUAUACAACUAGAGACCAACGAAGCAAGAAACCACAUGCAUGAAAUUUCACCUUUACAUAUAAUGUUCUCAAUGUAAAAAUCCCUGUUGCAUCCCCACCAUUGAGGUAAGCCUUAACUUCCGGUAUACCAAUACACUUAGAGACCGACAAAGCAAGAUACCAAAGGCAUGAAAUUUCACCUUUACAAACAACGUUCGCAAAGUAAAAAUUCCUGGUGCAUCCACACCAUUGAGGUAAGCCUUAACUUCCGGAAUACCCGAGCCAGCAGCAGCUGGUGACACCAAUGCUGUGAUAAGGGCCGCAAAUAAAGUAAGCCCGAAAUUGGAAAGAGAAAAAACAAGAAAGGCCAUUCCAAACCUGCGAGAGGAAUUAGGUGAUAUUACCAAGGUUUCCUCCACUCGGAAGAUGAAAAAAGCAAACUUUUACUAACAAAGCAAGUCCAAAGCUUUCUUCUGUGUAGUACAUUUUUUAUCGGAAAUUUCUGCAGUACUCAAGUCUCUGAGAAAACUAAACAGUUCUGAUUGCAAGUUCCUUCGACUCUGCAUGCAUCCACAGAUAACAUACGACCCCCACUUUACACCAAGUCUAUUGUGAUCAAUGCUCUUCAUCAUACAUUACGUCAAAAACACAGCAGACGGCAAUGAUUUUAGCAUUGAUUUCAUUACCUGCGUUGCAACAUCAUAUCUGAAGUGACCACAAACUUAACCCCUGCAAGGUUCUCGACAACUCCACCGAAUUUCCCUCAGCUCUGCCACUCGUCCGUCUCUCUUUCAUCGCCCAGCUGCAGCCGAACCCUCCACUGUCUCUCCCUCUUGCUGUCUCUCCACCGAACCCACGGAUUUCUCCUCGCAGCAUCACCUCCACCACUUGCUGCUCCACUGAUCCCUGCUCCCCGCAGAACCGACGCCAGCACACCACUCACGCCAGUCCACCUUUCUUCCCCGAAGUCAACCUCAGCUCACGCGGUUUCCCCUCUUCGUUCCCUGCCGCGCCAGCUCACCCCGAAUUCUGCUGCACCGAAACAAUUCCUUGCAUCUUCUUCGUCCGCUUCCCCUGCUGCCACGUUCGUGUCUUCUUUCGGUCCAGUCAACAAUUCCCAGCAACGAAGACCAAAGCUGCUCUCUCUCCUUGCUGCGCUGCCUUCGUCCACGACACCACCCACCGAAGCUGCCCCAAAACCGUCUUCUUCCUUCGUCCGUUCAGCCCGCAUCAACGGCCCAGCAGCUCGCCAGCCCAUCCUCGCCCGCAAGUUCAGCUGGCCCAAGUCUCGCGUCCACACCAGCAGCCCACGAAAUCUGCAGCCCAUCUUCAGCAACUCAGCCCACACGAGUUUCAGCCCACUUCAGCCCAGCCUCUGGUCCAGCUCACUUGAAGCCCACGAAGCAAGCCCAACCCGCAGCCCAAGCCCAGGACCAAGCCCAGCAGUUUGCGGUGUGCUUGCAAGGCUUGUUUGGCCCGGCCCAAGCUCCCCUCGGUGUCGCCGUAGGCCUGAGUUUCAGCUGCCGUCGCGGUGAACUGGUUUUCGCACUAAAUCGGUGAGUUUAUGCACUAAACUCUACCUAGUAGGCUAAUGACAUUUAAAGGAUAUUUAGUUUAAGUUAAUUAGGGAUUAGGUGGUUAGUUAGAUUUUAGAUUAGUGAUUUAAUUAGUGAAUUAUGCAUGUUAAGUGUUGAGAUUAAAUUAAUUAAGGACUAGAUAGGAUGUGCUAUUUAUCUAGACAAGUUCAGGAAUUUUUCCCGACCCGUUUAGGUGGUUAAUUUAGCAAUUUUGGCCUAGGUUGGUAUUUAUGGUAAUUAAUUGCAAUUAUUUAAUUAUUUUUUGUAAUUAUUUAAUUAUUAAAUAUUUUUCGGAAAUUAGACCGGGAUAGCUAGUGACCAAAAUUUCGUGCUGAUUGCAAUGAUAUAGUUAAUUUAUGCAAUUGAGUGUUAAUUUGUGCAAAUUGAGUGCUGAUUAGAAGUUUGAGUAUUUAAUUCCAAAAUUUGUGAAUUUUGAUAUUUAUUUAGAAAAUCCCGAGUGUCGAGUUUUAACACCAAAAAUGGUUUCAUAUACUAUAUAAACCAAUGGGAUUUUAAAAAGAAUAUUAUGAAUUUUCCGAGUCCAAUUUGACCGUGUACCCACACACAACUAUUUUCACCGGAUGUUUUUAAUAUAAAGAAAAUAAGCUAGGAUCACUAAUUUAAUUGAGGCAUUUGAGUGCAAUGCAUGGUGUCUUGGGCUAAGAUUGAAUUGUUGUGUGUUGGUUAAGAGAACCUAUCCUAAGCGUUUAUGCUAGACGUUACCCUAUAUGGGAUUUGGGUCGCAAUAGAGUCUGGACCUAUACUCCUUCAGGAAAGCCGUCUUUGAGAGACGUAGCCGCGCUCAAUAGAGUGAGAUAAUGCUUGGCUACGACUACGACAGUAUACCGCCGAACUUCAAAUAGAUCGUACCCUAGAAGGGCAUAAUUAUCAAUUAGAACGCAUGUUAAGUGAAAUAGAUACACCAAAUUAUGGGACAAAAUUGUAUAACAUGAUAUGGGACAUGUCAUAACAAUUUGGCCAUAUAAUCAGGACCUCUAUGAUUUAUUGAGUUGAGUAAUGCGUUUCAAUUAUUGCGUGCAUCAAUUUUAUGCAUGAUAUAUGUGAACCGUAUUGACCUACAUAGUGGAUUUGAAACGAGGUAAGUCUCUGUGAUUGUAUGAUUGUGUGAUUAGGAUGCCUCUAGGCAUAAUACCCUUCUAAUCGGGGUCUGAGAUUUAUAUCUCACCCCGUUGUGGGCUCAAUUUUUAGGGCGGUAGAGCGGAGGACCUAGAGCCGAAUUAAGGGGAUUCGAGGAGUAGGUCAGUUAGGACAAUUUCUUUUUUAGAGUCAGUUUUGAAAUCUUUUGGGUAUUGACUUUUGUACAUGACUCAAUAUGUUUAUAAAAGCAUGUUUGUUUGUGAAUUUGUUGUCCUGCUUUUUUAUUCCGAGAUGAUUACUGUCAGAGAAUUUAUUAUUCGCUUCCGCAUGUGCAAUAAAAUGAAUGGGUUGGUGACUCAUCCUGGGAAGUCGCAAAUUUUAUUGACCAUUGAGAGAUGGGCGCACGCUUGAGGUUUGGGGCGUGACAAAUAUUGUCACGCCCUUACCUUUGGUCGAUUUUAAAAUGCAAUAUUCCAGGACUAUGUAUCGCCGACCCUUUCAUUUAUAUAUGCACAUGCGGAAGCAGUUAUAAAUUCCCAGACAAUAAAACAAUAGGAUAGAUAAGUAGGACUAGAAAAUUGAACCUGGAAGUCAACACUCUUAUGUACAUUUAUAAUGACUCAGUCAUACAUGUACAUAUACAAACCAUGCUAAAAAGGUUGGUUUCUACUCAAUUAGAUUCUACAGCAACAGUCAUCAGGAUCCUACUCUGGAUCAUCCUCGGGGUUCUCCUUCAGAUACUCCUCUUCGAGUUUUUUCUCCUCAGGUUCUUCAUCAGGGUCCUGAAAUGUUUUCCCCAAACUAGGAUGAAACUAUGUCUCAGCAAGUUCUACCCCCUAAACCUGAUUAGUAAACUAAUACACCUUAGGGCUGCCUAUGCACAACGUAAGUCAGAGAACUUACCUUAGCCUCAGAUUCUACUUGCAUAUUAGCACAAUUCAAUAGGCACCUAAGCAAUCACAUCACAGAUCGAAGUAUCGAUCAAAUCGACCUAGUCGAUCACACGCCAACAAGACCACUCACGGUCAUUCCCAUUCAACCAACCAAUUCACAACAUCAGAUCAAAACAAUGAUUGAUCGACUUAGUCGAUUACAUGUCAUUCGGACCAGCUCUCGGUCACAUCAACACCAUACUUUAUAAUCUCCAUUUGGGUACUCAGUCACAGAGCCAGAUGAAUGCUCUCGAGCGUCUUUUUAGCCAAGGUGACGUACCAAUUACCAAUCACGAUAACCUCCAGCAGUACAAUUAGUCACAAAGCCUCAUUAAUGCUCUCGGGCGCUGCUUCCGCCAAGGUGACGUGUAUAAUGGAUAGCACUCAUGCGUUUUUUAAGGCGCCGUUUUCACCAGUGAUAUCCUCCAUCACCGAACCACGUAUGUCCAUACUGCUACAUGUAAUAGACAGCACUUGUGCGUUCUUUAAGGAGCCGUUUUCACCAGUGAUAUCCUCCAUCAUCGAACCAUGUUGUCCAUACUGCUACAUGUAAUAGACCACUCGUGCGUUCUUUAAAGCGUCGUUUUCACCAAUGAUAUCCUUUAAUCACCGAACCACGUAUGUCUCAUUACAUCGGUCCUGAUUGAUUUCAGCCGAGAAUUUCCCCAAUUACUUUCAUAGUUCCCUUUGCUUUACAGCUCAUCAAUGCUAAAUAGUCAUACUCGGCCAUCAACCAUUCAAUCACUCAAAUUUGGGAUAAAUCCCUAAUUUGCACAAUCAAUUCAAUUCCGCGCAAUGUAGAGCUCAAAUAAAUAAACGGAUUGCAUCACGACAAUCAGCAUGAAAUUCCGGUCACUAGCCAUCCCAAUUGAAUUUCUGGAAAAUAAUUAAAUAAAUAAUUAAUUUCGAAAAUUAAAUAAAUAAAUACGAUAAAUUUAAUUUAGCACAAUAUAAAGCUCAAUUAAAUAAACGAACUGCACCACGAUCAUCAGCAUAAAAUCCCGGUCACUGGUCAUCCCAGUUAAAUUUCCGGGAAAUAAUUAAUUAAAUAAAUAAAUUUCGAAAAUUAAUAUUAAAUUCCUAAAAAUUCCUUUUAGGCUUGAAUUGCUUAAAUAAUACCCGAUAAGGGACGGGAAAAAUCCCAAGUAGCAUUCAAUAAAUAGUAUACGUGCCUACCCGCUAAUUGCACAAUCUAAUUGACUAACAUGUAUCACAAUUAUCUAAUAAACACUAAUCUACUCUAAUCUAACCACCUAAUUGCACUUAAUUAAAUUUAAUCAACCUUUAAGUAUAAUUAGAAAACAAGGCAUUAGUGAGUAAAACUCACUUGAUUAAAAGCGGAGACCAGAACACCCCGACGGCGACACGAUGGCGGCCGAACUUGGGCCGACUUGCUUCGCGGGCCCAAGAUGGGUUGAACUUGCUGGGCCUUGUUGAAAUACAAAUGAUGCUGGGCUUGAAACUAAACUGAACUGGGCUUCAAAUUGAGAUGGGCUGAGCGAGCUUGGGCCGAAAUGCACUUGGGCUGCUGAACUCAAGAUGGGCUGAAGCUACGGGCUGCAGAUGGCCCAAUUACUGGGCCGGAUUGAUGCAGGCUUCAAGUGGGCUGAAUUGCUAACUCUUUGGACCGAAGUUGCUGAACUUCAUAGGCUGGCUUGCGUGAAGUUUUUGGGCCGGGCGAAGGAGCAGCAAAGGCCGUCAUUGGGCCUUGACAAUUGAAGGCACGCGUGGCAGAUGAUGGCAGAAGCGGCCGCUCGGUGGAUUUGCUGGGUCAACAAACCGCCUAUGAAGACGCAAGGUUGACUGAAGCUUUGAUGGACCUCGACACCGUGGCAGCUUGGAGUGAAGACCGAAGGAAGUGGACGGCUGCUGGCGGUGGAAUUCUGGCGUGGGGCCACGUGAGCUUCGGUCAACAAAAGCCUCGAUGAAAGAUGUGGCUUCUGCUGGUGACUUCGCUGGUUUGGUGAGACACAAGACAGCGAGAUGGAGGAAGAUCGUGGACUGAGCUGGACUUAGGCCGAUCUUCACGUGGGCUUCAAGUGGGUGCUCGGUGGGCUUCAAUUCGGUGAGAUGGCAGAUGCGAGGAGUCAACAAAAGGGGGCUUCUUUCGUGAGUGGUUGACCAAGCAAAACCACUCCACGUGCAACUGAAGAAAACGAGCAGUUUCGGUGGGGGAAAAGCGUGAAGCUUCGCUGGCAGUUCGGUGAAGAAUCCGAUGGAACGGUCUUCAUUGGCGGAGAAGCUGAGGACAAAGGGAGAGAGAGAUCUUCGAGCGUGUGGCUGGUUUCACUCGGUGGUCUUGGACGCGUGGAGAAGCAAGCUGCUUCGAUGGAUUCGUGCGGCUUUACUUCGGUGGUCAACAAAGUGGAGAGGAUCUGCUGUUGUUGACUGUGGAGUUGUAGGCCGGGGAUGCGUGGAGAGGGCGCCUGGCUUCUCUAGACGCCGUGGCUAAGUGGACGUAGGGCGUGGGAGAUGGAGCAGCUUCGUGGACGGUGGACUGAGCAGAGAGAGAGACGAGUAGGUGGGUGAGGGGGUCUCAGUUGUUGAUGGCCAACCGAAGGAGCUGUGCUUCUUCUCGUCUGCUGGUGUUGGUGUCGCACGAAAUGAAGGAGAGAGAGACUGUCUUGUUGUGAUGAGAGAAAGAGAGAUGGAUAGAGAUGAGAGGUGAGGGGGCUCCACUUGGCUUGAUAUUCCACAACAAAUAUCUCUUUUGUUCCCUAAUCUUGGACCAAAGCCAUAGCUGUCUUCCACCAACUCUUUGCAGAAAAUAACCCCAUCUAGAAGGCUUAAAAGGUCCAAAAGUUAGGUCCUAAGGGGUGCUACGAAUUUCUUAGCGAAGGCUUCAAUUGCACUUAAAUUCUCUCUUGAUUCACUCUCACUUGGCCUCCAUAAAAUUCAUUCACAUCUCAAUUAUCAAAUUGAUAAUUUUCCUCACCCAUACAUCCAUCAUGCAUCUCAAUUUUGCUACCAAAAACCAUUUUCGGCAAUUUCUGCAUUAAAAAAGACCUACCGACAACUUUUUCCCAAAAAGUCUCGGUUGUCAGAAAAAUCUUCUAAGACUGAGUCAAUGUUCCUAAAAUUUAUUGUGACAUGACAAAAUCUGCAAUUUCUGAAAUCGGACUCAGAUUGACGGUUAAUUUCACUCCGAUGUGCUUUUAGCGUGACCUAGGCUAUCGGGUAGUUUUCGAAACUUUUUAGGAUAAAUGACCCGUGGUCGAUUUUCUUCAAGUCACAAUGAACCCACUCGACAUAUUGUCGAUUCUCGAUUGUCGUAAAAAUCUAUAGAAUUCAAAUACUGACAUAGGGUACUAAAACGAUAAUAAGAUCAAGUUAGUGCUGGUCGAUGAGAAUUUUCCAAUUUAGUGGAGUCACUCACGAUCGGUCAUUCAUCCCAGUCGAACCGACCUAUCUCUGAUCUUAAUUCGAUUUUUAACUGUGCCGUAAUGACCUCUAAAGAUGAGCACGGUCGAGAAAUCGAUUCCUGAUCGAAUUCUUAAGUCUAUCUGCCUCAAAGUCCUUUAAUAGCUUACCCAGUUAGUCUAGUUAUCUCGUGAGUAGCCAACUCAGAGAAAAACACUGUAGUCAUGUCACGCCCCGAUCCUCGGGCACGCACACAUCUUUCUACUUGGUCGAUUAUAUAAUGCGAUAUCCCAGGAAUAUGUAUCGCCGACCCUUUCAUAUAUUAAGCACAUGCGGAAGCAGUUAUAAAUCCCCAGACAAUAAAACAAUGGGAUAGAAAAGCAGGCUAUAUUUUUCAUAUUGAAAUCUAUAACCAAACUUUUAUACAUGGCAUUAAACAUAACACUUCACAAAAUAAUCACAACCUAUUAGCCUCACUCUAUCUACACAUAUACAAAGGGUUCACAAAAGAUGGGAUUUCAAUCCUCAUCUGGGUCAUACUCAGGAUCAUCCUGAUCCUCCUCUGACUCCUCUUCACUUAGAUCAUUCUCCUCCAAAUCAUCAUUCCCUUCUUCAGCUUCAUCCUCGGCUUCCGACACCGGCUCAUCUUCAGGCAUCUCCUCGGCUGCUCCCCAAUCUUCUUCCUCCUCCGGAGUUUCCACUUCCUGCUGCUGGUCCCUCACAUCCACUACCGAUCCAUCCGCUCGGUCGACUGUUCCUUCUCCAAAUGCCUUCUCCAUCACAUCAAAAGGCACAUCCUCUUCUGGGAUAGGACCUUCUCUGCGCCCAUCAAAGUAAUCACGGUACCAAGACCGAUACUUGUGGGGCCUCUGGUCUUCCUUCCCCACAUUGACCCAGAUGGUCGACUGGACUAAAACGUAUACCAAUCCUUCCGGGUGAGGGUGGACGUGGAAAUGGGUCUCAAACUCAGAAAUUUGCUCCGGAACACCAUAAUGCAUACGAGGACGAGGAGGUGGAGGUCCUGCCAUUCUAAGGGCCUGAAAUGAUAUCCCACAACCGGGAUGAGACUAGGUCUCAGCAAGUUCUACCCCACUAAGCCCGAUUAGUAAACCAUUAUACUAUAGGCUGCCUAAACACGCACAAGGCAGAAGACGUACCUUGGCCUCAGAUCCCACCUGCAAGUCAGUACAAUUCACAAUAGGCACCCAAGCAAUCACAUCACAGAUCGAAGCAUCGAUCUAAUCGACUUAGUCGAUUUCACAUCAGGAAGACCACUCACGAUCAUCUCCCUUCAAUCAUCCAAUUCACAACAUCAAACCAAGGCAAUGAAUCACAUCAAGACACUCUCAGAUCGAAUCAUCGAUCAAUCGACCUAGUCGAUUACAUGUCAUCACGACUCGCACUUGGUCGGCACAUUCCAUACUAUCUAUAAAUCCGACCAUAGUCCAGGACUGCUCACUCUAAGCUGAUAUAUAGAUAGUAUAGCUCGCACUAAGCUGAUAGGGUUAAGGUAUACUGCUCUCGCUAAGCUGACAUAUCACCCGUAGGCUGAUAUAGUAUACCGGUAUACUGCUCUCGCUAAGCUGACAUAUCGCCCGCAGGCUGAUAUAGUAUACCCCCGAUGCUCACACUAAGCUGAUAAAGUGUACUGCUCGCACUAAGCUGACAUAUCGCCCGUAGGCUGAUAUAGUACACCAGUAUACUGCUCUCGCUAAGCUGACAUAUCAGAGCCCGUAGGAUGAUAUAGUAUACUAUCCAACCAUUCAAUCCAUUCCAUCUUUUAUCCUUCUCGAUAAAAUAGCCAUGUAUGGGGACACGGUCGGCCUUAGCCAAAAUAUUAUAAUUUCCUUUUUCAUAAUUCCCACCAUUCUCUACAACCCACCAAAACACUUUUGGUGCUGUCAACCGACACCCGGUUAUUUUCCAAUUAAUAAUCAAAGAUUAUUCCAUUAAAGAAUAAUUCCCAAUUUCACAAAUAAUUCAAUUCAGCACAAACUAAAGCUCGAUUAAAUAAACGAACUGCGCCACGACGAUCAGCACGAGAUUUCGGUCAUCGGCCAUCUCAAUCUUAAUUUCUGAAAAAUAAAUAAUUAAUUAAUUAAUUUCGAAAAUUAAUUAUUAAAUAUUAAAAGUUCCGAUUAGUUCAAAAUAAGGCCCAAUUAAAUAAACGGACUUCGCCACGGUCAUCAGCAUAAUUUUCCGGUCACGGUCCAUCUCAGUUGAAUUUCCGGAAAAUAAUUAAUUAAUUAAUUUCGAAAAUUAAUAAUUAAUUAUAAUAAAUCCAAUUUAGCUCAAAUUGGUGCUCAAUUAAAUAAACGGACUUCACCACGAUCAUCAGCAUAAUAUUCCGGUUCUAGACCAUCUCAGUUGAAUUUUCGGAAAAUAAAUAAUUAUUUAAUUUAAUUCAGAAAAUUAAUAUUUAAAAUACCAAAAAUCCACUUAGGCCCGAAAAGCCUAAUUGGAGCCCACCAAGGGUCGGGAAAAAUCCUGAGGCACUUCCAAUAAUUAGUAGACCACGUCUACUUGAUAAUUGCGCAAUCAAUUUAUCUAAAUCACAUUACAAUUGACUAAUAAUUGCUAAUUUAUUCUAAUCUAACAACCUAAACAUAAUUAAUUAAAUCUAAACCAACCUUAAGCAUAAUUAGCCAACUAAUCCAGGAUUAGUGAGAUUACUCACCGGAAUCGCACGCAAAACGUAUCAAUCCGACGAGGACGACACGAGGAACGAUUCCUCCCAAAGCGACCCACGGAUCCGGGGCCCGAAAACGGCCCAAAGCGAGCUCGAAGCUGGCUGGAAACCCACACGACGGGGUUGCUGGAUCGGCUACAAAACAGAGAAAAUAGAGAGGAAUAGGGGCGGCAAGGGUCGGGAAGGAUGGAUGGAGCUCCGGGGAGGCUGCACGGCGGCCGAUCGAAGCUGGGCGGAGGUCCGGCGGUGGCUGAACGGAGACUGAAUAGAAGCUGCAGGGGUCGGGUUGCAGGGGAAAAACGGCACACACGGCCAGGCGGAGCACACGGCGUCGCGCGGGCGGUGGCGCGGCAGCUCCAUUGCGACGGCGAGCGGCUCCGAUCUUAAAACGACGGUGGCUGAUGCUUCUGCUUUGCUGUCUUUGCUGGUUCACACAAACAGGGGAGAAGGAGAGAGGAAGGGCGGCGACGCUGGCUGAGGGGGCGAGAGAGGCGGAGGCGAGGCGCGGAGCGCGAGCGGCGGUGCGGCGGCUCCGAUCCCAGGCGAGCUUCUUCGGUUUUCUUCCCUCGGCGAGGCUGUCUCCGCUUCUGUCUUCUGUUUUCUGUUCGAACCGUGAGGGGGAGAGAGAGUGUCGAGGGAGAGAGAAGGAGAGGUGAGAGAGAGAGAGAAGAAAGAAAGGAUAAGUAUGAGGGAGUUUGACUGGUCAAUGAAGAAAAGCAAAGUGGAAGCCAGCAGAGGCAAUCGGUGGGGGUUCACGCACGAGGGAAAAAAGGAAAAAGAGAGAGAGAGAGAGAGAAAAAGAUAAAAAGAAAGAAAGAGAGAGAGGGAAAAAGGGAAAAAGUGUGUUUGGCUACAAAGGGAAAAGAAAUGGGAAUAUCACAAAAAUAAAAGGAUUUCCUCAAAUAGAAAAUCCAAAUCCCAAUUUCUUUUUAAAUUGGCUCAUAGAAAAUUCAAGAAAAUAUCAACUUAGAUUUCUUGGUCCCCACUUGCCAUUGCAUCCAAAAUCCCUCUUAAAUUUCUCUCAAAUAACUCUCCCAAAAUCAAUUGAUAUUUCCAUUACCAAAUUGAUCAUUUCUUUAUCCAAGAAUCCCCCACACUCCUCGAUUUCACCAUCAAAAUUAAUCCGCGACUUCAACUGAACGAAAACGGCCAUAAUCUGACUUUUUCCCAAAAAGUCUUGGUUGUCAGAAAAAUCUUCUGAAACUGAGUCGUAGAUCCUAGAAUUUAUUGUGACACGACAAAACCUUUCAAUUUCUGAAAUCGGACUUGAAUCGACGGUUAAUUUCAAUUUGGCGCGUUUUUAGCGUAACCUAGGUUACCGGGUGGUUUUCAGAACUUUUUAAGGCAAAUAACCCGUGGUCGAUUUUCUUCGAACCACUAUGAACCCAUUCGAUUCAAUGGCGACUCUCAAUUGUCGUGAAAAUCUCGAGAAUUCAAUUCCGGACACAGGGUACCAAAACGAUAGUAAAAUCAAAUUAGUGUCGGUCGAUGAGAAUUUUCCAAUUUAGUGGAGUCACCCACGAUCGGUCAUACAUCUCAGUCGAACAGACCUAUCUCUGAUCUUAACUCGAUUUUUAACUGUGCCGCAAUGACCUCUAAAGAUGAGCACGGUCGAGAAGCCGAUUCUUGAUCGAACUCUCAAGUUUAUUGCCUUAAAUUUUCUUAAUUACUUACCCAGACAGCCUAGUUAUCUCAAGAGUGAUCAGCUCCGAGAAUAGCCCUAUAAACGCAUCAACGAAAUGCCCGAUUAAUUCAGUAGAAAACAGGUUGAGAAAUUCAGGAUGUCACAAGUCACGUUGAUGAAAUGCCCAAUUUAUCCCAUCGAAGUCAGAGCCUGAAAAUCUGGAUGUCACAAAUAUCACCUACGAGAUUGAUCAUCUUUAUUAGAAACAAUUUAUAUACAUCAAAUCUUUUCGGAUGGUAAAUUAUUUUGGAAACAAUUUCCUAAUUGUAUGGGCGAAUAGAAUUGAUGGGCUUUCAUCACAAUCUUCAAACGGCUCGAAGAUUUUCUUGAUUGAUUCUGUCCAACGGGUUGAUUGGAAGAAUUUAUUUGGAAAAUGCUAAUGGUCGAGAAGGCAUGGAGGAGUAUUUAAGGAGGACUCUCCAGUUGUUGAAUAGAGUAUGUGAAAAGAACAAUUUCAAAGUCUGAAACUUACCAUUUACUUGUUAUUCCUUACUCUGUGCUCAAAUUUGUACUCAAGAGAGAGAGAGAGAGAGACUUUGUGAAAGCAGUAAAGACUCUUCACUGUGAAGUCGAGAUCAUAAGAUUGUAAAUUUUUUUUUUGAUUCUUAGUGGAAACAAGUCAGAAGGCUGUCAACGUGGGAGAGUGGACGUAGGCUUGAUCUAAAUCGAAUCACUAUAAAUUCUAUGUUCCUUUUCUCAUCCUUAAACUCCUUUAUUUUAUUCGUACUUCAAUUUUGUAGUUAAAGUAUAAACUCUUUUAAAGUUUGCUGAUCAUUAGACUCAGUUUCAAAAGCAAAAUUUCUUAGUACUCUUUGCAAAAAUUAUUUUCACACCUAUUCACCCAUCUCUAGAUGUUCAUAUUAGCACUUUCAACACUAACAGACCAUACACAUACUAUUCAUUAUGACAGACACCAGAUGUCUAAAUAAUCAAAGUCAUAUUGAACUAAUAAAAGAGGUUGGUCAGGCAAGAAGACCACAGCUCUCUUCCUUUUGGGUCGGCAAGCACUAGUCUGCUGUCGACAGUCAACCAGACUUUCGAACCUUCAGGUGCUAGACUAUCGCCAUUUGCCGACCAGACUUUAGUCUUGUCCUCUAUCUUCUCGAACGAUAUAGCCAACAAAUGAGCUCCUGUUCCCAUUCUCCGGAACCCAAAGGCGAACUCCCCCGACGGCGAAAGCCAGGAAGAGUUCCUGUCAUUUGCUGUUAAGGAGGAGCCAAGGUCAAGUUGCCCUCGGUCUGAGCUUUGGCGGAAAGUGGAAGUGGGAUGAGUAUUAGGAUUCCAAACAUCACUGAAGUCAUGUUAGAUGAAACUUGCGUGCUCCUUGAGCUACUUCAGCCUUGUGAACGAAACCAGCAUUCUUUAUAGAUUUCUACUUUGUAUCCUACCUUAGUCUCUCCCACAGCUAGUUUGAAUCGAAUUUGUGGACAGAGUUUGCCCAUGUCAACACAUAUAUCUAGAAUUAUCCUAUGAUAGUAUUCCUUGUUUUUGUUUCUUUUUUGUUGAAGUAUAUUAAUAGUUCUAUUAAUAUAUUGAGUAAAGUUUACAAAAAAUUAUCUUAUAAUAGUAUCACUGAUAUUAAAUUUUUCUGAUAAUAAUAUCUAUGUAAAUUUAUUUUUCUUCAUUUUCUUUAGUUUUCCCUUCUUUUUUCUAAUUGAAAUCAAUGGUGAAAGAAAACUUUCAAAUUUAGAAUACGGGCGAGUCUACACCAUUACCUUGCCGGGACCCUGAUAUUUUCCAAAGAAAAGCAUGAAUUUGGAAGACUUUGACCAAACGUCGUACACGUUAAGUUGGAGAUUUUAUGAGUUAUGGAGAAGAAGUCAGGGCUUGCAGUUGAUUCAAUCCCUAUCGCAGGGAUCCAGGCUGACCCCCUAGCCCCGUGAGGGGCUUGUGGACGGGUAGGUCAAUGGGGGUUGAAUCUUUUUCGAGGCCAACCCCGGCCUCUACCCAAACUUUCCUAGUGGUCAGAGCCUUUUAAUAACGAAUUCAAACCGACUAGAGAGUUACUUAAUGGAAAUUGAAUGUUUCAAUCAUAAUUGUAGAUAUCCUCGGACGUACGUGGAAAGUUGCUUUGUCAUCUUGCAUCAGGCAUGCGCUCAAUAGUUGCGGACUGUGGUCCAUGGCGUUGUGGUGAUCAAUGCUUUGAAUGAGACAGGUCUCUGUGCAACAUGGAAAGUAAUGGCUACAGCAAUGAUGAAUGAAUGUAAUUCUGCAGAUAUUCUACUAAAGUUUGCUUGUAGUAGUUCCGGGUUUCGAAACUCCUGUAUGUUUGAUUAAAUGGAUGUUGUGGUGACACGACUAUCCUAUUCUCAUGGACUUAACAACAGUAUGCAAAAUGUAGCGCAUCUAAAAGCUAUUUGGUUUACAUUAUGACCCAAUUGCACUUUUGUAAUAAGUUUAGAACUUUCAGUAGACUUAUCCUCUAAAAAUAUAGAGCAUUUAGAGCUAUAGAAGAUCAAUGAAAAUAUAGAGCAUUUAGAGCUUAUAGAAGAUCAAUGAAGUGUCAAGUCAACAACUUUAAAAAAAUCUAAUGGAUGCCCACUGGAGAGAGGUAAGGUAAAUACUCGACUUUAAAUUUCGAUUUAGUGCUCCAUAUGUGAUAAACGAACCACAAACGAAAACCUUCUAGGACAUCAAGGUGAUGAAGAUUAGAGAUGGAUGGAUUUAAACGGAGCUUGGUUUACUCAUGCUAGAUAGACAUGGUUUUUGCUUGGGUACUCAUUGUUGAUGCCUAUAAUUAGGGAUUUAAUCGGUUGAUCCUUAGAAAAAAAUUAUAUAUAUAUAUAUAUAUGGGCGUGUGUGAAUUUGCAUUAUUUAACAAACUUCAUGCUUCUCCCUACAUUUCAUCGCAAAUAAAGGGGAUUGUGAUUUUUGCUACAUCAUGGGAGACUCGACUUGAAGAGAACAUUGAAGCCUUUGAUAUCAUUUUCACUCAUACAUCAUCAACACAGCGGUCUACAAAUAUUCACCUUGGGGAUUGUUUUUAGUUCUAAUUUUCAUCAUAAAAAAUCCUAAGGAGAAUGAACCAAGUUGUGGCCGAACCAAGCAGCAACGCCAAACCCUAACUCCAGAUAAUUUAACCGGGGCCGGCCACAUGAAGAUGAUAUUGGGCCACAUGCUCUCAAAUUGAGCGUGCAUUGGACAAGGAGGAAGUAUAUUCUUUGAAUGGAAUGGCCUCAUGCAUGCAUGCAGAGGAAACAAGCUCAUAAUUGUCUAAUGACUUUCUUCUUCGCCAGCUGCAUGAACAGGGGCAUUCACCUACUUCUAUGAAAUUGGCGCAAGCAGACUUUUUCCGGAGCGAGAUAAACGAAAGAUGAAGCCCUUGACCAAAACAUCGUCCGUCCUAUCGAAUCGAGAAUAUGACAUGAAAAUGAUGGUGAACGAGCUGGCAGACACCGUGGCUGACUAAGACAACUAUGAAAUCGAUCCCAUUAACACUUCUCCGGUGCAGAUUGAUUAUUGGAUUUGGAUCUUCGAGAUCUCUCCCUUGUCCAGUCCCGUCCUGUUUGGACCCGUUAUGGAAUGGCAUGACCGUAGCCGAGUUGUUUACAUAUACAAGAUCUCCAAUGAUCAUUUUAUAAGGGAAUAUGUAUGCUUAGAAAAUUGUCUGCCUUGUGUUGCUUCCCGCAAGUUCUCAAAUGGAAAAUUGAGAGAAAAUUCGUCUGAUUAUGCUUCCAACUACGUGAUUUGCGGACUGAUUUUUUGGGCUAUGACAAGUUGGUCGCCCGAAGGAAGUGAGAGUCCCCUUCUGUAUGAAUAAAAAAGCAGCAGAGCUAUUGAAAUUGGGAUUUCCGGGCACCCGAUUCAUGCCUUGAGGACCGGCAACUUCCAUACGGUUCUCAUCAUCUAAUUUAGCAGAGAAGAUCUACUUUGCUUGGGUCAGGUUGAAACACUGUUCUACUGCAUCGAAUGCAAUUUUUAUGAAGCAUGCAAUCCUUUCUGCUGACAAUCGUCAACAUGUUCUCUGUUGGAUACUUGCGAGGGAAUAUCAAACUUUAGGAAGAUUUAGCUUAUUUAAGCGGGAUCCAUGUGAAGACAUUAUGAAAAUAUUUGAUCUGGCAUAAUAGCACUUACAUACGGCAUGGAUAUUUUUCAUGAUUACAGACAACGGUUGUCUUAAAUAAGCAAAAUCAUAUUGAAGUAGUAAAAAAGCUUGGAACUGGUGGUACUGGGACUUCAACCACUCCUUCCAACAUCUGAGUAGUUUUCUUCAUGGCCGGCCUCAAAGCCGGAUCUUCCUGGAUGCACCACAAUGCUAUCAUCACAAAUCUUUUCACCAUCUUUAUGUCCCUUGAUGCCUCCUCAUCGCUCUCCACUAGCUGAAGUACACUCCCGUCGUGGUAGCAGUUAUAAACCCAGUCGACCAUUACAAUUUGAGCUUCAAUUUCCGCUUUCGGCUCAUAGUUCUUUUUGCAGCAGAUAAGCUCAACCAACAAAAUGCCGAAGCUGUAAACAUCUACUUUGCUAGAAAUAGGCAUAUUCCUUAACCAUUCUGACGCUAAAUAACCUCUGGUUCCUCUGACUCCGGUGGUGGUUCGUGUUUGGUUUGCCUUCAAGAGCAUAGCUAAUCCGAAAUCUGAUAUUUUUGCAGUGAGAGAGCCAUCAAGAAGAAUAUUUUGCGGCUUGAUGUCGCAGUGGAUUAUAUGUCUAGUGCAUUCCUCGUGCAAGUAAGAGAGCCCCGCGCAACAUCACAGUUAAUUUCUACUCUUUUGUACCAGCUAGGCCUUGAAGAGCCAAAUAGAAAAUCCGCCAAUGAGCCGUUGCUCAUGAAUUCAUACACUAAUAGUCGAUGUUGACCCUCAUUGCAGAAUCCAAGCAACUGCAUUAAGUUCUUGUGGUUAGUUUGGCCAGUUGCACUCACUUCUCUUUCGAACUCCUUUUCACUUUCUCCGGUCCAUGCCAUCAACAUUUUUACUGCCACAAAGUUGGUAUCCUUGGAUCCAAGAACACCUUUGUACACUGCUCCAAAGGCACCCCUACCUAGUUCUUCUUUGAAUCCAUCCGUCGCUUCUUGAAGCUCCUGAUAAGUGUAAGUCAGUGUGCCUGUGGCUUGGUUGAUCUGGACUAGUUGUAAGAACUUAUAAUCCCUAGAUCGGGAACUUCUAUAAAUUACACAGGUAAGCAAGCUCACAAACACACAGCUACUCAACAGCACUGAUUCAAUAAUCAUCAGAGUCAAAUUCUUGCUUGGAUUUCUUCUGGUGAUUUUGUUGGAUUAAUAGUGUCUCAGUUGUUGUUUUCUGUUUUUUUUUUCUACUCUAUUUUCCUCUGUUUUUUUAUUAAAAAACAGCCAAGUGCAUUUAGUGUUUUUUGCUAUUUUCUAGGAAGUGAAUUAGCACGUUUAGGUGCAGUUAUAUGCUGCACAUGUGUGUGGUUUGUAAGUAGUUUUUGUUCUUGUUUAAGUUGUCCUGUACUUGACAGUUUCCUUAGAAAACUGACAUACGCAAGUUUGUGCUAUGUUUUCUCUGUGCUUUUUUUCCUCAUUCAAAAACUAUAGCUUCUGGUUUUCUGUUUCUAGUUUACUGUUUUGAUCAGUAACAACAGUGGUAUCAGAGCGUGUAUGAUCUUGAGGGACUGUGAAGUGAAGCAAGUAUCGAAGUGUAAAGAAGUUAAAGGGUGAUGGAGACAGGGUCGAGUGGUUUCUCUACGAUGGCUUCUCCAGUAUUUACCGGAGAGAAUUAUCAAGCAUGGGCUGUUAAGAUGACAUCAUUUUUGGAGGGUCAUGAUUUGUGGGAAACUGUGGAGGAUGAUUAUGAAGUUGCUCCACUUCCAGAUAAUCCGACCAUGAAUCAAAUCAAACUUCAUAAAGAGAGAACCACAAGAAGAGCCAAGGCAAAAUCUUGCCUGUAUGCUGCUGUCUCGCCUACCAUCUUUACCAGAAUUAUGAAGUGUGACUCUACAAAGGCCAUAUGGGACUUCUUGAAGGAAGAAUAUGAAGGGGAUGAGAAGAUAAGAGGUAUGAAGGUGCUGAAUCUCUUGAGAGAAUUUGAGAGACAGUAGAUGAAAGAGUCUGAGUUAGUGAAGGAAUACUCUGAUAGGCUAGUGGGGAUAGUUGAUAAAAUCAGAGUUUUAAGGAUUGACUUGAAGGAUGAAAGGCUUGUUCAGAAGAUCCUGGUGUCUCUUUUAGAGAAGUUCGAAGCCACCAUAGCGUCUCUGGAAAAUACAAGAGACUUACCUGAUAUAAAGCUUGCAGAAUUGUUAAAUGCUCUACAGGCACAGGAGCAUAGAAGACUGAUGAGAAGAGAAGAGUUUGUAGAGGGUGCGCUGCAAGCUAGAGUGAAAUCAAAUGAUGGAGGCAAAGGGAAGAAAUGGAUUCAAUCUAGAGAAAAUGCUGGUGACUCCAAGUUUGUAGCAAAAGAAGGAAAUUCUGGUGGGUCUAGCAAAUGGAAGAAGAACAAAGAGCCUUGUCAAUACUGUGGUGGAACUAAUCAUCAGUUUUUUAGACGUUGGAGAAAGCCUGAUGCUAGGUGCAGAAGAUGUCACAAGUUGGGUCACAUGGAAGCCAUCUGCAAAGAGAAAAAUUACCAGCAAGCAGGAGAAGCCUAGGUAGCAGUGAAUGAAACUAAGGAAGAGCACUUGUUUGUAGCUUCUUUUUCUGAAUCUUUUGUUGGGAAUGAUGCAUGGCUGGUGGAUAGUGGCUGUACCAAUCAUAUGACUGGCAAUUCAAAGCUGUUUAGGAUUCUAGACAAGUCAGUUAGGUCCAAAGUCAGAAUUGGCAAUGUUUAGUAUAUCGAAGUGCAAGGGAAAGGUACGGUGGCUAUUGAAGGAAAUCAGGAGGUGAAGCUGAUCAGUGAUGUUCUUUUUGUGCCAAAUAUUAACCAUAAUCUGUUAAGUGUUGGUCAAUUAGUUCAGAAUGGCUAUAAAGUGAAGUUUGAAGGGAAGGAAUGUCUUAUUAAUAAUGCAAAUAGCAAAGAAGUGCUAAGAAUUCCAAUGGAGGACAAGAGUUUCAUUUUCAAGCCACAAGAGAUGCAACAAAUGGCUUUAAAGUGCAAAGAAGAAAAUACAGAGAUAUGGCAUAAAAGACUUGGGCAUGUUCACAGGAAGAGCAUGUCGUUUAUGUAGAGAAAUAGCUUGGCAGAUGACUUGCCAAGUUUGGAGGAGGAAUUUCCACAGUGCAAAACUUGUCUUCUUGGCAAGCAAGCCAUAUUUCCUUUCAAAGGAGGAGGCAGGAGAGCAUGUGAGAAGCUGCAAUUAGUCCACACAGAUCUAUGUGGACCUAUUUUUGAGUCUUCUCUUAAUGGUAGUAGGUAUUUCAUUACCUUCACUGAUGAUAUGACUAGAAUGAGUUGGAUUUAUUUUUUGCGAACCAAGUCUGAAGUUGUUGAUGUGUUUGUGAAGUUUAAAGCCUUAGUUGAGAAUUAGAGUGGGAAGAAAAUUAAAAUGCUCAGGUCUGAUAAUGGUUCUGAGUAUACUGCUCACAAGUUUAAGUUGAAUUGUGAGCAAGCAGGAAUUGUGCAACAGUUCACUGCUCCCUAUUCACCUCAACAUAAUGGGGUCAAUGAGAGGAAAAACAGAAGUAUUAUGGAGAUGGCCAGAUGUAUGAUGCAGGAGAAGAUGUUGCCUAAGAAGUUCUGGGCUAAAGCAGCUAAUACUGCAGUGUUCCUGUUGAACAGAUUGCCCAUAAAGGCCUUAGAGAGGUCAACACCUUUUGAAGUCUGGUAUGGUGUUAAACCUUCUGUGAGAAAUUUGAAGGUUUUUGGGUGUUUGUGUUACACUUAUGUUCUUGAGGUCAAGAGGGACAAGCUGGAUAAGAAAGCAGAGCUUGGAAUCUUCAUUGGGUACAGUCUCCAUGUCACGCCCCGAUCCUCCGAGCGCACGCACAUCCCACUUUGGUCGAUUCAAAUGCGACUUCCCAGGACACGUCGCCGACCCAUUCAGUUUUAUUGCACAUGCGGAAGCGAAACAAAUCCCCUGACAACUUUUAACUUGGGAUAGAAAAGCAGGCAAUCAAUCACAACCAAACAAGCUUUCUUAUAAACACAUAGGUUUAUAUACAACACUGGAUUGUCUACAAAAUAGACAGGCUCAACAACUAGGGAACUGUCCUAUGACCAACUUGUCAGACACGUUCGCCGAUUCUUCAGCCUUCACCUUCCGAACUCCAGGACUUUCGGUCCUCCACGACCGUCAUAUAGGGACCUGAAAUAUUAUCCCACAACCGGGAUGAGACUAUGUCUCAGCGAGUCCUACCAUCUAAAACUCAAUUAGGGAGAAAAUACGCCUCAGGGCGCUCUAGCCACACAAAUAGAAUAGAGGACUUACCUCGCCUCAGUUCCUUUCCUGCACGUCAGUACAAUUCAUAUUCAAACAAUGCUCGCACAAGCUGAAUCUACCGACAUACCCAUCGGUCUAUCAAUUCAGUCAAUCCAAUUGAUAUCAUACGAUCCACACAUCUAUCAAUUCAUAUCAUCUAUUAAACCAUACCAUCUAUUCAUCCAUCAAUACAAUUACGGCUCGCACAAGCUGAAAUGGAUGCAAUGCUCUCACAAGCUGAUAUAGAUGGUAGCUCGCACAAGCUGAUAUAUACAUAGAUGAUAGCUCGCACAAGCUGAUAUAUGGAUCGUUGCUCUCACAAGCUGAUAAACGAUCAUUGCUCUCACAAGCUGAUAUAUAUAUAUAGAUCGUGCUCGCACAAGCUGAUAAAACGAUCUUAGCUCACCAGAAGCUGCCAUAUAUAUAUGUAUAUGUAUAUCAUAAUUGCUCGCCCAAGCUGAUACAUAUAUAUAAACCAAUGCUCACCAAAGCUGAUAAUUCAAUAAUAAACCAACUCAUACCUCAAUUCAAUCAAUCAAUCAAUCCAAUCGAUUCAAACUGGUCAUACAAACCAAUUACGGUGCUAAAAGCCAACACCGGGUAUUUUCAAGUUAAAUACCACAACUUCAUCAAUAUCACUCAAUUCCACACUUUUGGAAUUAUUAACCAAAAUCAUCAAUCACUCAAUUUCUCCAUUUAAACAUACAAUUAACACAAACCGACCGCACUGCUACGAUCAGCGCGAAAUUCUAACGACCAGCCAUCCCGGCAUAAUUUUCGAAAUUAUUAAAUAAUUAAAUUUAAUUCCGAAAAUUAAAUAAUUAAAUAUUAUUUUAUAAUAAUAUAAUUUAAUAAAAUAAUAUUUAUAAAUUCGAAAUAAUUAUUUAAUUAAAAAUAAUUAAUUAGGGCUUAAACUAGAUUACACUAAUUUAACAUACAAUUAGCCCUAAUUAAACAUCCAUUAAACUAAUCAUACAACUAAUCUAAUUUACAUUAAAAUAAUCUAAUCUAACCACCUAAACCUAAUUAGACUAAUCUAAACACCCCUUAAGCGUCAUUAACUCACUAAGCAAGAAUUAGAGGAUAAACUCACCGGAUUAACAUUCCGGCGAGUCCACGGCGAAGGCGACGCCAAGGCGGGCAAUAAACCUCGAGGCGGCGACACCAACCAAGGCCGGGAAGACACCUAAAACGGGCCUCGAAGACCUCACAGCUUUCUGGUUUUCUGCUUCUGAUCUAGGCUGAACUGCAGAGAAGAAACCAGCAACUUCAACGGCGAAAACGGGCCGAUCGGAGCUCCGGCAAGCGGGUGGUUGGCAACCAAUGGCUCCCGGGGGUCUUGGGGAUCUUGUAGGAGGUUGGGAUGGGCAAAGGAAUGGUCGGAAUGGGGCGAAACAGCAAGAAAACCCGAAACAGGCGGAGCAGGGCGGAACCAGACGGUCCGGCGAGCGGCAGAUUCGGGCGGCCGUACGGGACGGCCGGAGAAUCGUUCCGGCGAGCGGCGAGGUGCUCUGGAACGGUCUGGAUGUCCUCUUCGCGGCGAUGGGUGGCUCGUUCGCUAAUUCAACCGGGAAGUUAACUUUUUACUCGGAUCUUUGGCGAAAGGUCGGCUGGAGCAGAAACUGGAACGAGGGGAAAACAAGGGAGGAAAACGGCCGACGAUGGCCUUCCGGGCGUGCGACGAUGGAGGGGCUAGUGAGCUCGGUUUCCUCUGGUUCUCUUGAGCUCUUCCUCAGCCUCAACCAUGGAGAAAGCCAUGAAUAAAGGAAGAAGAUGGUCUGCUGAAGAGGGGGCCUCCUUGGUGGCUCACUAGAGCUCAACACUUGUCUAAACCUCAUUUGCUUUGCCCCCACCAUGACAUCACAUGACAUCAUCCACUCUCUCUCCUCAAUCUUCCUCCACAACCUUGCCAAUAGGUGCAAAAUAGCUCUCCCCCCAUGGUAUACGAAUUUCAUACGUUUGUACAUCAAAUUCAAUCAAUUCUCACUCAAUUCCAUCCAAUUGAAGUUCAAUUAAAUCAACCCAUGUGUCCUCGGCCUUCUCAUGACAUUUCCCCGCCAAAUGAUCCAACUUGCAUCCCGAAGAUUCGAUUAAAAACGGCCCUCUAACAAUCCCGAACAAAAACGGCAUUACUUUGCUUUUCCGCCAAAAAUCUCGGUUUGUAGAAAAAUCUUCUGGAGAUGAGUCGACGUUCCUAAAAUGAAUUGUGACUUGACAGAACUUCCAAUUUCUGUAAUCGGGUUCAAUUUCACGGUUAAAUUCAAUCUGGCGCGACUUUAGCGCGUCCUAAUCUACCGGGUAGCUUUUAGGAAUUUUCUAUGCAAUUGACCUGUGGUUGAUUAUUUUCAAGCCACAAAGUGCAUCUUCGACACAUUGGCGACUCUUGAUUGUCGUAGAAAUCUCAAGGUUUCAAAUACGGACACAGGGUACCAAAACGAUAGAGAAAUCGGUCUAGUGCCGAUCAACAAGAAUUGUGCAAUUAGGUGGAAUCACCCACACUGAAUUACAUGGUUCUGUUGAAUCGACCUAUCUCCGGUCUCUAAUCGGUCUGUGCCGUAAUGACCCUUGCAGAUUAGUACGGUCGAGCAGUCGGUUCCUGGUCGAAUUCUCAAGUCUAUUGCGUUUAGAUUCCUUAACGGCUUCACCUGAUAGACUAGUUAUCUCGUGAGUGGCCAACUCAGAGAAGAAAGCUAUAGACGCGAAGAUGAAAGGCCCGACUUAUUUAAUUGAAACCAGAAUUGGAAAAUCGGGAUGUCACACUCCAAUCAAAGGCUUACAGAAUUUUUCACCCUAUGACAGGGAAGGUGACUGUAAGCAAAGAUGUUGUUUUUCUAGAGGAAGAUGAGUGGAAUUGGAUGGAAGGAAAGAGUGCAAAACAGCAACAAUUCGAAAAACAACCUGCAACAGAUGUAGAGGUUGAUGAAGUUAUAGAUGGAUUGAAAGACAGUGUGGAUGAUUUACCAGUGAGAGGCACAAGGUCAUUUGCCGAAAUCUAUGAAAGAAGCAAUGUGGCAAUGCUCGAACCAUCUAACUUUGUGGAAGCUAAGGAGGAUCAAAGGUGGAUUGCAGCAAUGCAGGAGGAGAUUUCAAUGAUCUAGAAAAACCACACAUGGGAGCUUGUGGACAGACCAUCUGAUAAGAAUGUAAUUGGGGUUAAGUGGGUGUUUAUAACAAAACUUAAUCCUGAUGGUUCUGUUAAUAAAUACAAAGCUAGACUGGUGGUGAAAGGCUAUGCACAAAUAUGGGGAGUAGACUAUUCUGAAACAUUUGCUCCUAUUGCAUGACUUGAUACAAUAAAGCUACUGUUAGCUAUUGCAGUAGAGAAGGGGUGGCCUAUAUUUCAGUUAGAUGUCAAGUCUGCAUUUCUGAAUGGAGAGCUUGAGGAGGAGAUUUUUGUUGAACAACCUGAAGGUUUUAGUAUCAAAGGGUAAGAAGAGAGUGUAUACAGGUUGAAGAAAGCUCUAUAUGGACUGAAGCAAGCUCCAAGAGCUUGGUAUGGGAAGAUAGAUUGAUAUUUGCAGGAUUUUGGCUUUGUAAAAAGCUUAAGUGAGUUCACUCUUUAUGUCAAGAAGGUGAAUCACAGUGUUGUAAUUCUGUCACUUUAUGUAGAUGAUCUAUUAGUGACGGGGAAUGAUAUGGAAUUAAUAGAGAAGGUGAAGCAAGAUCUAUUUGCAGUUUUUGAGAUGUCAGAUUUGGAAAAAAUGGCUUAUUUUUUCGGUCUGGAAGUCAAACAGGCUUCAUAUGAGAUCUUCAUCUGUAAAAAAAAAUACAUGAAGGAAAUCCUAAAGAAGUUUCAGAUGGAAGAUUGUUGAAGUGUAAGCACUCCUAUGGCUGCUAAAGAAAAGCUGCAGAAGAAUGAUGGAAUAGAUGCAGUAGAUGCUUCUAUGUAUAGAAGUCUGAUUGGGUGUCUCAUGUAUCUUACAGCAACCAGACCAAAUAUUCUAUUUACUGUGAGUGUUUUAUCCAGGUUUAUGAGUAGUCAUAGUCAGUUACAUUUGGUUGCAGCAAAAAGGGUUUUGAGAUAUCUCAAAGGAAUAUUGUUCAUUGGUGUGAAGUUUAAGAAAGGUCAGAAGUUUAAUUUGCAAGGAUUUUUUGAUAGUGACUGGGCUGAUUCAAUAGAUGACAUGAAAAGUACGUCUGGGUAUUGUUUCAGUUUGGGUUUUGCUUGUUUCUCCUGGUGUUCUAAAAAGCAAGAGAUUGUAGCUCAGUCUACUGCAGAGGCUGAGUUUAUAGCAGUUACUGCAACUACAAAUCAAGCUUUGUGGCUGAAGAAGAUAAUGAAAGAUUUAUGGCUGAAUUCCAGUGGCUGUAUUGAAAUCAAUGUGGAUAAUCAAGCUGCUCUAGCAAUAUCUCAGAAUCCAGUUUUUCAUGGCAAAACCAAGCAUUUUAAAGUCAAAUUUUUCUUUCUGCGUGAGUUGCAACAAAGUGGCGAAAUUAAGUUGGUUUAUUGCAGAUCUGAAGAUUAGCUUGCAAAUAUGUUCACAAAACCACUUUAAGCUGGAAGAUUUGAAGUAUUAAGAAAGAAAAUUGGAGUAUGCAGCAGCAACUGAUCCAAGGAGGAGUUUGUUGGAUUAAUAAUGUCUCAGUUGCUGUUUUCUGUUUUGUUUUUUUUUUUUUAUUAAAAAACAGCCAAGUGCAUUUAGUGUUUUUUGCUAUUUUCUAGGAAGUGAAUUAACACGUUUAGGUGUAGUUAUAUGCUGCACGUGUGUGUGGUUUGUAAGCAGUUUUUGUUCUUGUUUAAGUUGUCCUGUACUGGACAGUUUCCUUAGAAAACUGACAUACGCAAGUUUGUGCUUUGUUUUCUCUGCGCUUCUCUUCCUCAUUCAAAAACUAUAGCUUCUGGUUUUCUGUUUCUAGUUUACUAUUUUGAUCAGUAACAACAGAUUUCCUGUAGCUUUUGAAGUUGAGUUAUUUAUCCUGACCUUAACCAAAGCCUUUCCACCCACGCCAGGAUCCAUCCUACCAUUUGAAAGAGGCGUCCUCUUUUUCCAGCACUUUCUGUCUUUGAAAAAAGUGACUGCACGAAAACAAUCAGCCAAGCAAGCCUGUCUGCACUAGUGCUCGGUCUGUGACUCGCUACGCUCGUAAUUAGACAUCGGCCAGCCUGUAUUAAGCAUCUCACGCAAAACAAACUGGUCUGUUCCAGGCUAACUUUUGUCACAACUCUGUGGUGCGGAGUCCUGUCUGCAUCCGUUCAUCUCGUUCGUCGAAUCUAACAGAGUAUAUCCAGGUAGGCAGUGGCAUCGGGGCCUCUGAAUUUGAUCGUCUCCACGAGUACAGUAGCUGUUGAAGCCACAAGCUCUAGUACCAGUAUCUCGGUUCAUACUCGUGCAUAUAUUUGAAGGGACUGGGGAAGACCAUCGACCAGACCAUUGCCCAGCCAGAACUCGAAUUUGCCAUCUUUGGGUGGAUAUAUUGCCUGAAGACCCCGUCAUAUUCGAGGAUCGCUCUUUGGUAAAAUACGCUGGUUGGAACUUCUUCUGAGGUGACUUUAUUGAGUAAUUUUCCAUUCCUAUCCGUGAGGUAGACCUGACCACUUUGAUUGAAUAUCAACCGGAAGCCAUUACCUCGGGUGCCGGUAGCCCAAUAUGCAUCUGAGACGACCAGCGGGGUAGGAAUGGCAUAGAGCACGAGAUUUCCGUUGGUUUGCAGUCUGAAGAUGAAUCUCCCAUUGGAGUAAUUCAUUUCGUAAUAGCGAGCUCUAACAACAGCGUCCAAAUCUAACUGUUGCGUAGGCAGUAUCGUAUCCGUUGGUCGGCUGAACGAAUCCCACGAGUUGACGUGGCUUGCGCUCGCUAGGAUGAAGUUCCCCGUGUCGAGCAUGGCCGCAUACGCUAAGCCAGUGGCGUUCAGGUUAGAAGACCACAGCUCUCUCCCUCUCGGGUCGGUAAGCACCAGCCCGCGGUUGGCGGUCAACUGGACUUUCGAACCUUCGGGCGCUAGAUCAUCGCCAUUCACCGACCAGACGAUGGUCUUCUCCUCUAUCAUCUCGAACCAUAUUGCCAGCAAAUGAGCCCCUUGUCCCAUUUUCCGGAACCCGAAGGCGAACUCACCCGACAGCGACAACAGGGGAGAGUUCUGGUCGUUCGCCGUCAAUGAGUUGCCCAAGGUCAAGUUGCCGCGGGCCUGAGCUUCGGCGGAAAGGAGAAGUGGAACGAGUACUAGAAGGAUUCCUAGUAUCGCUGAAGCCAUGUUUGAUGAAACUGGCGUGCUCCCUGAGUUGAGCUACUUCGGCCUUAAGGAUGAAACUGGCGUUCUUAUAGAGAUUUUUCCACUUUUCCAUGCCACCAGAGUCUCUCUCGUACGUCCGGUCGUUCAUGGCAGGUGAGAGAGGCGACCAUUCCUCCUCCGCGUAGAUGCGAUUGCUCCUCCUUUUUCUCCACAGCGGGUUUGAACCAAAGUUGUAGACAGCGUUUGCCCAUGUCAACACAUAUAUCUAUCACUAUCUUUGACAAAAAAAAAAAAAAAAAACAUAUUUCUAUCUAGAAUAAUGAUUUUACCAUAUGGUCUGAAGUUUUAUAAAAGCUCCACCCGUAGUAAAAGGAAAUGAUUAAUUAAAAUAGAAGGUGAUAUUUGUACAUAUAUUUUAUUAGUCAAUCUUUUUUUGUGUGUAAUAAACCAUUUAUUUAGCAGCAAUUAAUAAACCAUUUUAGAGUAUAUAAUGAGUUACUUGAUUUUGUUUCUUUUAUCUUGAAGUAUCUUAUUAGUUCUAUUGAUAUAUCCAUCAAAUUUUCUUAAAAAAUUCGUAUAAUAAUAUCAUCGAUAUUAAUUUUUCUGAUAAUAAUGUCUCCGUGAAUUUAUCUUUCUUCAUUUUCUUUAUUCCCCCCCCCCCCCUCUUUUUUUUUUAGAAAUCAAUAGUGAAAGAGAACUUGUCAAAUUUAGAAUAAGGCGACCCUUCUCCAAAAGCUUGGCGGGACCUUGAUACUUUUCAAAGAACGCACUUGGAAAAAUUCGACCAGACUUCGUCGUACAUGUUUAUUAAAGACUUUUUAAGAUGAAAUUGAUGGAAAAAGAAGGCAGGGCCAGCAGUUGAUUGAAUCCCCAUGAAUUCAAACCGACUACAAGUUGCUCCGUGGAAAUUGAACAUGCUCGAACAUACGUGGAAUUUUGCAUCAAGCAUGCAACCGAUGGAUGCUUUCCACGGCGACGUUGUGAGGUCUUGUGCAACUUGGAGAGGAAUGGUUACAAUGAUGAACGAACAUAAUUUUGCAGACACUCUACAAAAGUUUACAUCCAGGGAUUCCGGGUUUCAAAACCGAUAUGUUUGGUUAAUUGAAUGUCGCGAUGACAUAAAGAUAUCAUGCUCAUGGAGUUUACGACAUCAUACAAUACUUACCACAUCUAAAAAGCAAUUUGGUUUCCAUUUAAUAUAAUUGAUCAGUUCACAAAGAGGGAGUGUCCCUGUAUAUAAAUUACCGCAAAAGAGGUAACUAUCUACAGUUUUCUACACAUCUUUGAUCUUACUGUCGAGACUCCUCUGCAUCUUUAGCGUCUCAGUCACGGAAAAAGUAUUUCCGUGCCACCGUGAUAAUGCCAGCCAAAACUUCCUGUUCAUACAAUCGUCCCAAAAAUAAAUUACAACCUGCCGCUUUCCACAAUGCUCAACUAGUAAGGGGAAGUGCUAAUUUUCCAGGGUUUUUAGGGUCCGAUCAGGGCCUGACCUUAUAAUUAGGAGCUUCCAAUAAGUUCCAUCCUGCAUGAAUCCCACAUAAUCUGGCCUGAUUGAGUAGGAACUUUCCUGGAAAAAUUCCUGAAUGCUCGACUGGUUAUGCUAAAAUGGUUAUAAUAGGCGGGGAAACUGUAGUCUUAAUCUCUUCCAUCUGCUCCUAAUGAGGGUCGGGUGCAAUGCCAACACGUGCUCGGGCAUAAAAUCAUGUCUUGUUAAUAUGGCCACCACAGGCAAGAUUAAAAUGAAUACAUAAAAGAACAUGUUGAACCAGAGCAAAAUGCUAUUCGCACCCGGUGGCACAGAAGUAUCACACCAAACACCCACAAGAGACGAGAAGAAAAAUCAAUUGUGAUCCCCCACCCUGAUCUACUCUGAUUUUUUACUGAAACUAGGAAGCUAAUGUCAAGUAGCUGCAUGUGCAGAAAUUCAGCUAAACGGAGAGGAGAACAUCCUAGUGCAAAGCUGAGCUAGUGAAGCUACAUAAACAUUUGGCACACCAGAAUCCCUUUCACGGGGUUAAACUUGAACAUAUGAAAGAUAAUCGAGUAAUAUAAGAAUGGAACAGGGGAGGGUGAGAAAAUCAAGCUCGUUAGGCCAAAGGAGGAUGGUGUUAAUGUAAUUCUAAAAAAUGGCCCAAUUCACUAAAAAGAAGGAAGUCAUCGUUGUUUUUAAUAGGACUUUGUUAGUAUAAUAAUCUUUGGGCUAUUAUGAGAAUAACAGCUUGUUAUAAAUCAUAAAUUCUUGAAGAAGUUGGCAUUACAAUAAUUCGUAAUUAUUUGUUAUUUAGUUUUUUAUGGUCUAAAACAAACUGUUAUUUUUACAAUACAUUAAAAACUAUCACCAAAUCAUUUACCUUUUUUUUAAUAUAUCGUCGACUGCUCCAACCACAAAGAAAAAAUCAAUUUUUCAAGUAAAGAAAGGACUAGAAGUAUCACUGAAUGAUGGUGUAGUACUCUAUUGAGAUUGGCAGUAAAGUAUUUCAAUGCCAAAUGACGAAAAGAGCAAUAGAAUAGCUUUUGAUAGAAUUAAAGAAGUGAAAGUGAGAGCUUGCGCCAGCGAUUUCGAGUAUCGCCAGCGGAUGUCUCAAGCCAACUUUCCUUUUAAUUUUUUUUUUCCUAAAAUGGCUAACCUAGCAACCUCAGCAGCACCUCUUUUUUUGAAAAAAAAAAGUAAACCAUGUCAGUUUCUUUUUUUCAUUAACCAAAUCGGAUGGAGUUAAUAGAGAGACUUGAUUGAACUAAUUUGAUAAGUUUUAAAAAUUGAUUACACUUUUUGGAAAAUUUCAUAACUCGAUUGCACUUUUGUAAUAACUUUUUGGGACUUUUGAUGCACUUUUUCCAAAAAAAAAAAAUAUUGAACAUUUAGAGCUUAUAGAGGAUCAAUGAAGUAUCAAAUCAAUAACUUAAUAAAAAAUCUUAUGGACACCCAUUGGGGCGAGGCAAGCUAGCACGCUCGACUUUAAACUUCGAUUCAAUGCUUGUUUUGUGAUAAACGGACCACAACCAAAUGCCUUUUAGGACAGCAAGGUGAUGACGAUUAGAGAUGGAUGAACUCGAAGGGAGCGUGGUUUACUCAUGGAUUGGGCUGGAUAGACAUGAUUUUUGUUUGGGAAUUCAUUGUCAAUUUUUCAAUACGUUUCAUAAAAUUAGGGAUUUGAUUUUUUAAUCCUUAGCAAAAGAUAUGUGAAUUUGCAUUAUCUAACGACAUUCAUGCCUCUCACUACAUCUAUUGCAAUCAAGAAGAUUGUGCUUUUUGUUACAUUAUGGGAGAAUCGACUUGAGGAGAACAUUGAAACUUUUGACAUCAUUUUCCUCACCUUGUUUUUUCAUUUUCAAUCACACAUCAUUAACACAGUGAUUUAAAAAUAUCCACCUCAGGAUUAUUUUUAUUUCUCAGUAGCGAACCGUUUUCUCGAAACCUGACAUAUUUAUGUUGGUCUUAUUGAACAAAGACAUACCUUCGGGAAAAAUUGCAAAAUGAACUAAUACAAUUGCAAAAGACCAUUCAGGAAAGGUUGCUAAUUGAACUUGUAUGUUUUCCAAACGACAACUUGAAAAGAUACAAAAAUUUCGGAAUAAAAUAAUAAUAAUAAUAAUUUUUUAUAACAAAAUUCAGAAUUUAAUAAUUUCGAAAAAAAUUGAAGUUUUUGGAAAGAAGACCUGAAAAAAAAAAUUAGCGAACCGUUUUCUCAAAACCUGACAUAUUUGUGUUGGUCUUAUUGAACAAAGACAAACCUUUAGGGAAAAUUGCAAAAUGAACUAGUACGAUUGCAAAGGACCAUUCGGGAAAGGUUGCUAAUUGAAUUGGUAUGUUUUCCAAACAACAACUUGAAAAGAUAUAAAAAUUUCGGAAUAAAAAAUAAUAAAAAAUGAUAAUAAUUUUUAUAACAAAAUUCAGAAUUUAAUAAUUUCGAAAAAAAAAGCUGAAAAAAUAAAUACAACGUUUUGAGUAACAAGAUAACCUUAUGGAAUAAAAUAAAAUAAAAAAUAGUGGAUUAGGGCUAAUUAAAACGCAAGCGCGCAAGUGAGUCAAGUGCGCCUAAUAAUUGCGCAAUCAUUUGCGCAUCCAGCAUGCGGGUAUUAUGAGGUGUGGCUCACGCCUCAUUGCUGUUUCUAAAGAAGCUAGAAAAACUCACACAUUAGGUGGUCUAUCUCCUCCUAACUUUUCUAUGUGGGACAAAGAAGAAAAGCAUUCUUGUUUGUUUUGCAAACCAACACUCAACAAAGUUUACAAAAGAUUAUCUUAUAAUAGUAUCGUUGAUAUUAAAUUUUUCUGAUGGUUAUAUCUUUAUAAAUUUAAUUCUCUUUUUUCUCCUUUUUUUAUAUAAAUCAGUGGUGAAAGAAAACUUUCAAAUUUAGAAAGCGGCGAGGCUACACCACAAGCUUGCGGGGACCCUCAUAUUUUUGAAGGAACAGCAAGAAUUUGGAAGACUUUGACCAAACGUCAAACAAGUUAAGUUGGAGACCUUAUGAGUUAUGGAGAAGAAGGCAAGGCUCGUAGUUGAUUCAAUACCUACGAAUUCGAACCAAUUACUAAGUUACUUCGUGCAAAUUGAAUGUUUCAAUAGUAAUCAUAGAUAUGCUCGGACGUACCAGGAAAUUUGCUUGGUCAUCCUGCAUCAGGCAUGCACUCAAUGGAUGCAGACCGUGGUCCGUGGCGUUGUGGUGAUUCAAUGCUUAAAAUGAGACGAGUCUUUGUGCAACUUGGAAAGAAAUGGUUGCCACAAUGAUGAAUGAACAUAAUUCUACAAAUAUUCUACUGAAGUUUGCUUAUAGUACUUUCAGGUUUUGAAAUACUUGUCUGUUUGAUAAAUGGAAGCAUGUAACAAUAUUGUAUUCUCAUGUACUUAACAACAUCAAGCAAAACUUACUGCAUCUAAAAGUAAUUUGAUUAACAUUAUAACUCGAUUGCACUUCUACAAUAAGUUUAGGACUUUUAUUAUGCUUAUCAUAUAAAAAUAUAGAGCAUUUAGAGCUUAUGAAUGAUCAAUGAAUUAUCAAGUCAACAAAAUAAAAAAAAUAAAAAAAAUAAUAAUAUCGAACUGAUAAAGGAGCUUGAAACUGGAGGUACUAGGACUUCAACGACUCCUUCCAACAUCUGAGUGAUUUUCUUCAUGGUUGGCCUCAAAGCAGGGUCUUCUUGGAUGCACCAUAAUGCUAUCAUCACAAAUCUUUUCACCCUCUUUAUGUCACUCGAUGCCUCCUCGUCGCUCUGCACUAGCUUAAGUAUGCUCCCGUCGUGGUAGCAGUCAUACACCUAGUCAACUAGCACAAUUUGAGCUUCAAUUUCCGCUUCCGGCUCAUAGUUCUUUCUACAACAGAUCAGCUCGACCAAUAAAAUGCCGAAGCUGUAAACGUCUACCUUGCUAGAAAUAGGCAUAUUCCUGAACCAUUCUGGCGCUAAAUAACCUCUGGUUCCUCUGACUCCAGCGACGGUUCGUGUUUGGUUCGCCAUCAAGAGCUUUGCUAUUCCGAAAUCUGAUAUUUUUGCAGUGAGAGAGCCAUCAAGAAGAAUAUUUUGAGGCUUGAUGUCGCAAUGGAUUAUAUGCCUAGUGCAAUCAUCAUGCAAGUAAGAGAGCCCUUGUGCAACACCACAAGCAAUUUCUAUUCUUUUGUACCAGCUGGGCCUUGAAAUGCCAAAUAGAAAAUCCGCCAAAGUGCUGUUGCUCAUGAAUUCAUACACCAGUGGUCGAUGUUGACCUUCAUUAUAGAAUCCAAGCAACUGCACUAAGUUCUUGUGGUCAGUCUAGCCCAUUGCACUCACUUCUCUUUCAAACUCCUUUUCGCUUUCUCCAGUCCUUGUUGCCAGCACUUUUACUGCCACAAAGUUUGUAUCCUCAGAUCUGAGAACACCUUUGUACACUGUUCCAAAAGCACCCCUACCUAGUUCUUCUUUAAAUCCAUCCGUUGCUUCUUGAAGCUCCUGAUAAGUGAAAGUCUGCGUGCCUGUGGCUUGGUUGAUCUGGACUGGUCGUGACAACUUAGAAUCCCUAGAUCGGAAGCUUCUAUAUAUUAAAUGGGUAAUGAGGAGUAGAAGCAAGUUCACAAACACGGAGCUACUCAACAACACCGAUCUGAUGAUAAUCAGAGUGGAAUUCUUGCUUCCAUUUCUUAUAGAUUUUGAAGUCGAGUUAUUUAUCCUGACCUUGAUCAGCGCCCUUUUGCAAUAUCACUACGAUCCUCUCUUCCAUUGGAAAGAGGGAUCUUCUUUUUCCAGCAAUUUCCAUUGUCGCCGAAAAUAGCAAGUGCACAAAAACAAUCAGCCAAACAAGCCUCUUUGCAACUGUCCUCGGUUUGCGCCGCGGUACGCUCGUAAUCAGACAUUGGCCAAUUUGUAUAAGGCAUGCUAAAGAGAGUGAACUGGUCUGUUUCAGGCCAACUUUGCGGUACAAAGUCCUGUCUGCAUCCGUUCAUCUCGUUUGUUGAAUCUAACAGAGUAUACCCGUGUGGGCAGUGGCAUCAGGGCCUCUGAUCUUCUCCAAGAGAACAAUAGCUGUUGAAGCCACAAGCUCCAGAACCCAUAGUUUGCGUGAUGCUUGUGCAUAUAUUUGGAGGGACUGGGGAAGAACGGGCCACCACCCAGCCCAUUUCCGAGAGAGAACUUGAAUCAGAGUGGACAUAUUGCCUGAAGACCCCGUCGAAUUCAAGGAUUGCUCUUCGGUAAUAUCCGCUGGCAGGGAAUGUGUCUGAGGAGACGACUUGGAGCAGUGCUCCAUUCCUAUCCGUGAGGUAGACCUGACCACUUUGAUUGAAUAUCAAUCGGAAGCCGUCGCUUGUGUUGCUAUCCCAGUAAGUAUCUGAGGCAACCCACGGGUCAGGAGUGGCAUAGAAUGCGAGAUUUCCGUCGUCUCCCAGCAUGAAGUGGAAUCUCCCGGCGGAGUAAUUCAUUUCGGAGUAGCGAGCCUUAACUUUAGUCCCUUGAUCUAACUGUUGCGUAGGCAGCAACGUGUCGGUUGGUUGGCUGAACGUCUCCCACAAGUUGACAUGGUUCUGGCUAACUAGACAAAGUUCCCUGUGUCAAGCAUGGCCGCAUACGCUAUACCAGCGACAGUCGGGCUAGGAGACCACAACUCUCUUCCAUUUGGGUCGACGAGCACAAAUCGGCCAUCCGUGGUCAACUGGAUUUCUGAACCUUCUGGUGCUAGAUUAUUGCCGUUCGCCAACCAGACUAUGGUCUUGUCCUCUAUCUUCUCAAACCAUAUAGCCAACUGUUGGAAAUUAUUGAUCCAUUUUCAACAAAUCUAGAAGUUUCUAGCUUAAUGGAGAAUGAACUUGAAGACACGUGAAGAAGCCCAAGUUAAUCAAGAAAAAAGGGGCACACAAUAAAAUAAUAUUUUAGAAGUUGCUGGAGUUUUCAAGAGAAUAAGCUCUACGUGCAUGGGAAAUUUGUGCAUGAAAAUCUUGGAAGAAAAGUCAACAAAAGUGGCUGAGAGUUGUAAAAUACAGAAAAAUGGAGAAGCCACCAGAAGAUGCGGGAGAAGUCGCAACAAGAGAAGACAAGAAGCCAGCUGUAAUUUUAUAUUAUUUUUGUACUCAAUGUCGGUGGAGUAUGGCGGUGAUUCACGCCUAUAAAUAGGCUUGAAUGUUGAUCAUGUGAGAGUGUGAGAGGUUACCUCCACCUUGUAUGUGGGGGUGAACUCUCCACCUUGAAAGGUCUUAGACCUUCAUUGUAUUUUUAUCAAACUAGUUUGUUUAACUAAUAAAACUAUUUCCCCCAUAUCUCAUGUCCUAUAUCCCUCAAAUCAUCCUACCUUGUCCCUUGUUCAUCCUCCACAAAAUAUACUAUACACUUGCACACAUCACAAACCAAAAACUAUAACUAAUACCAAAAUCAUGCUUCCGCACGUAACGCACACAUCCCAAAAAAAUAUUUUUUUUAACACCAACAAAUGAGCUCCUCUUCCCAUUCUCCGGAACACGAAGGCGAACUUGCCUGACGGUGACAACCAGGAAGAGUUCUGGUCGUUCGCUGUCAACGACUUGCCCAAGGUCAAGUUGCCGCUAGUCUGAGCUUCGGUGGAAAGGGGAAGUGGAACGAGUAUUAGAAGGAUUCCUAGUAUAACUGAAGCCUUGGUGUUCUCCUUGAGUUGAGCUACUUCGGCCCUAAGGAUGAAACCAGCGUUCUUUUAGAAAUUCCCUACUUUCCAAGCUACCAGAGUCUCUCUCGUACGUCCGGUCGUUCAUGGCAGGUAGAGAGGCGACCAUUCCUCCUCCGCGUCGAUGCGAUUGCUUCUCCUUUUCUCCAAAGCAAGUUUUGGGCAAAGUUGUGCGCACAACCUUUGCACAUGUCAACACAUAUAUCUAUCACCAUCUUUGAAACCCCCCCCCCAAAAAAAAUAGAUAUAUAUUUAUUUCUAUCUCUCUCCCGCCACUUUCGACAAUGCUCGACUAGUAAGGCGAAGGGUUAAUUUUCCAGGGUUUGUAGGGUUCGAUCAAGGGCCUGACCUUAUAAUGAGCGGCUUCCAAUAAGCUCCGUGCUGCAUGAAUGCCGCAAAAUCUGGCCUGAUCGAGUAGGAAUUUUCCUGGAUAAAUUCCCGAAUGCUCAACGGGCUAUGCUAGAAUAGUUUUAAUAGGCGGGGAAACUGUAGUCUUAAUCUCUUCCAUCUGCUCCUAAUGAGUGUCGGGUGCAAUGCCAACACGUGCUCAGGCAUAAAAUCAUGUCUUGUUAAUAUGCCCACCACAGGCGAUCUCUGCAAUAAAAGAGCGUCGAGAUUAAAAUAAAAACAUAGAAGAACAUGUUCAACUAGAGCAGAAUGGUAUUGCAAUAAUUAAGCACCCAGUCACAUUUAAGUCCAUUUUACAAGUAGACACAGGACUAGAGCCACGAGAAAAAUCACUGAAUGAUGGGGUAGUACUCUAUUUAAAUUAACAGUAGAGUAUUUUGAUGCCAAAGGACAAAAAGAGCGAUAGAAUAGCUUUUGAUAGAAUUAAAGAAGUGAAAAUGAGAGCUUACGCCAGAGAUUUUAGGUAUCACCAGUAGAUGUCUCAAGCCAACUUCCCGGAAAAGUAUGAGAGCCUUCGCAAGUGACAUUGUCUCCACAACCGUGUAAGGUGAAGCAUUAGUAAAAGGAUGUAAAUCCAAGAACAUCUCCAUCUCUUCUUCAGUCAGGUCUAUAUCUUCUAUCAUGUUAUAAUGACCUGAUCCCCUCUUCAUGAAGUCCUCUGCUGAAAUCUGCUCAAAGGCAUCAAUAUCCGUCGGAACUGGAUCAGACAAAAAAGCUUUCUUCUUUAAAAGCUCCAUCAGAUGAGCACGGAGAAUUAAACCAUACAGAAAGGGGGACUCUGAAUGUGGAGGUUCAUCAAUUACAGGAAACCCGUUGUGCCUUGUAGUUCGCAACACAUGUACCACAUUAGCGACCUUCUCGAUGCCAUGAAACAGCUGAAGGGGCCCACUCACUACAUCACCAACUGUUAAUUGUCUCAUAUAUGGCUCGGCAUGGGUCUCAAGGUAAGGAAAAGCCCUUUGCUUUCAUGAUAAGGUCAUAGAUGUUGCCGUUGAAAGCAUCAGCUACGGUCUUUGAAAUAAGAAGAACCACCAUCAUCAAGGGUAGCAACAGCAGGUUGUUAAUCAGUUCCAAAAGGAUUACACAUAGAGAAACCGUCAUCCUCAUAGAUCCACCAAGAAAAGAAGCAGCACCCAGCACAGCAAAAAGACCAUGGUUAAGAUUGGAAUGAGAACCAAUCAACGUUCCAACCAAACGCCCAUAAGAUGCACCAGUAACUAUUACAGGAACGAAAAGGCCAGCAGGAGCGACAAUGCCAUAGCUAAGUAUACUCAAGAAAUAACAUGUGACAAAGAAUAUAAUUAUAGAAGAGUACCGGAUCUCGUCAUCCGUGCCCUUGCUAAAGAGAUUUUUGAUUGCAUCAUCAUUCGUGUUAAAUAUUAGGCUGGCAAGAUCAUUGUAAUGUCCAGGAGGACAUUGAAACUUCUUGUAGUUGCCAGGUCGGCCUAUUGUGGGACAGGCUUCUCCAGCAUUGGCUGGACAAACUCGACAAGAUGCCAGCCACGGUAGUCCAAACAGGAGACACGACGUGAAAAUUGAAAUCCAGCAAGCAAGCACAAUUUUGUAGGCAAUGCCCUUUCUGAAAGAACAAGGUCAUUGUUGUAAUCAGUUUAUUGUUACUGCAUAAUCACAUACUUGCGAUUACUGAGAAGAAAAGGAAAGAGAACUUACUCGUUGAUGAGGUUGUAGACACGAAGAACCUUCUCCAGGAAGAAGUUAUACAAGCUACCCAACAAUCCACCUAUCAUACCAAGGAGAAGUACAGGAGGUACAUCAACAAUGUGAUAGGCAACAUUUGAUGAGGCAACAUCGUACAUUAUCAGCCCUCCUUUACCAAAAAGCCCACAUUUCCCACUCAAACAGACGUCAAUGAGAGCCCUCAGCACGAUGCCACUACAGCUGUAGUAAAGAAAGCUCUCCACACCAGGGCACUUCUCCACCUGUAAAAGAAAAUAAAGAUUAUGCCGUGCAAAGACAUCACAUAUUUCCAUGGAAUAUAAAAUACUUCAAGGUCUCAGAUAGUCAAUAAGCUGCGGCAAUACAUCUCGAAACCAGAUAAUAAGUGCAAGGAGAUAGUGCAAACAAUUUAAGCAAACUCAGCCAAGAACCAAAAACAGGGAGAAACAAACUGGCUGAUAGAACAUAAAGGAAGCCCAGAAUCAUCUCUUCCUGGUAAUCAGAAUAAGUUAAAAUAGGAAUUUACAUAAACCGUUAAUAUCAGAAAACCAGAUUUCUGUACUUGACCAGCAAUUUUUCUCAGCUUUGCAGAACUAAGGUAAAUAUGAUCUGCUAACAAGUCCAAUAUCCAGGACUUUAAGAACAAUGAGAUUUUGCAUCGCAAGGAUUCUAAUUGCUAAAAUAGACAAAUGGAGACAUCAGAAGAAAGCAGUGCAUAACAGCAAUUCAUCAUAGCAAGAUUUUUGUUUGGGGAUUCAUUGUCAACUUUUCAUAAUGUUUCAUAAAAUUAGGGAUCUUAUUUUUUAAUCCUUAGCAAAAGAUAUGUGAAUUUACAUUAUCUAACGACAUUCAUGUGUCACGGGCCGAUCGAUCACUCUCGAUUACUCAUAUGACUUGUGCGACCUUAGGAUUUUACCCCUAAGCAGCCUUUCUCACACUCGACUCACAAAGAUCUUAGAGAGAAAACUCUAGAGAGAAAAGCUCUGGAUUGUAUUUCACUUGUGAAUGAGAUAAUACAAUGAGGGGGAGGAGACCCCUAUUUAUACAAAGACAAGCAAACCGUAUCCGUAGAUCUCUCCUCGAUCUAACAGUGGAGAUUACAUUUCCCCAACUACCAACUACCCGUAUUUAUUACAUACGAAUACAUUUACAGUAUCGUCCGUCCCCAUUGAGUUUUCUAGAAAACUCGAGAAAACCCUAGCAGUUGGGGAUAUAAGCCAAGGGUCGCUUGAUCCAUAAUCGUGUCACGGCCGUCCCAUAGGAACCUCUUGGAUCAUCGUUCUUUUGGGCCGUGACAUUCUCUCCCACCUAAUCAAGCGACGUCCUCGUCGCGUGUUUAGCGUGAAAGGCAUCAAUCUCAUUCUUGAACUGCCAAAGACUUUCCGCGGGAUCCCAACUUGCUUCGCUCUCCGGAAGACCCUUCCAUCGAAUCAAAUACUCUUGCUUCGGCGCACAAUGCCGCUUCCGUAGGAUUCGAUCCGCCAUGAUGCUCUCGACUUCUCGAUCAUACGAGAUUUUUGCCCCGAGUGGUGCCCUUUGAGACUCCCUUCAAUCUGGACCUUCCUCAUCAACCUGGAAAAGUUUAAGUAUACUCACAUGGAAAAUCAUAUGUACCUUGAGUAUCAAUGGUAACUCCAGUUUGUAUACAACCUUCCCGACCCAUUAUAGCACACGAAAUGGCCCUUCGUAGCUAUGAAUCAACCCCUUGUGCACGAGUCUGUAUCGAAGAACUACGUGCAACUUGGCCAACACUUGGUCCUCGACCUCGAACUCCACAUGCCGUCCCUUCUUGUCGGCCCACUUCUUCAUGCGCUUGGAGGCCUUGUGUAAACACGCCCUUGCCAAGUUGGGCUGCUCCUGCCAAUCCUUAGCAAACUUAUAUGCGGGUGGACUACUCCCCUGUUAACCCGAUGCGAUCGCACUUGGAGUAUUUGGUUGCUACCCGAUUGCGAUCUCGAACGAGCUCUGGCCAGUUGACUCACUCCGCUGCAAAUUGUAAGAGAACUAGGUUACAUCAAUCAACUUUGCCCAAUUCAAUUGCAGUAUACUCACAUAGUGUCGGAGAUAAAUCUCCAAGAGUGCAUUGACCCGCUCUAUCUGACCAUCGGUUUGAGGAUGCAAACUCGUGGACAUAUUUAGCUCCGACCCCAGUAGCUUGAACAACUCGGACCAUAAGCGCCCCGUGAAACGAGGAUCACAAUCAUUUGUGGCACUCCCCAAUACUUGACGACGUACUUCAUGAACAGCUUGGCCACCUGCUCGACCAAACAAUCUUUCAUCGCAGGCACAAAAGUCGCAUACUUGGAGAACCUGUCCACCACGACUAGGAGAGUCUGACACCCUUUGGACUUCAGCAGGUUUACAAUGAAGUGCAUGGAAACACUUUCCCAUGGACGAGUUAGAAUAGGAAGCCGCUGCAAUAGGCCUAGUGUCUGGAAGUAGCUCGUGGCCACAUUGUCCGUCCUUAUGACGAACUUCAACCCCAGGAGAUAAUGCCUCCACGUCCAAAGGCAAUGGACCACCGUGGUCAUCUUCUUCUCCUGAACGGUAUACCAACGCUCGAUAUCGUUCAACUUCCGAGACUCAUACACCACCGAAUGUCCAUCCUGCAUAAGAACACCACUGAUAGCAUAAUCCGAGGCGUUAGUCUCUACCUCAUAAGGCUUCGUGUGGUCGGGUAAUGCCAACACCGGUUCCUCGGUCAUUGCUCGCUUCAAUCGGUCGAAUGCCCUUUGGCAUCGAUCUGUCCACUUCCACGGCUUCUCCUUCUUUAACAGGUUCAUGAGCAGCACGAUGAUACUCAAGUAGCUCCAAAUGAAGCGCCAAUAGUAGUUAGUGAGGCCUAGGAACGACCUCAACCCCGUCACCUUUGUCGGCGGCUCUCAUUCGACGAUCAAUUGAAUCUUCGCCUUGUCCAUUCACACUCAUCCACCCCCGACUAUGUGCCCCGAGAACGAAACUUCCUUUUGGGCAAAUGCACACUUCUCGCGCUUCACAUAUAACCCGAUCUCACGCAAGACUUGGAAGACUUGCUUUAAGUGCUCAACAUGCUCUUCGAGCGUCCGAUUAUACACUACAAUAUCAUCUAGGUAAACCACUACAAACCGAUCUAGGAAAUGGUGGAGUACCUUGUUCAUAAGUGUGCAAAACGUAGUCGAAGCGUUGGUCAAGCCGAACAGCAUCACGAAGGAACUCGUAGGAUCCAUACCGCGUCACACAUGCGGUCUUUGGCUCAUCCCCUUCAGUGAUCCGAACUUGAUAAUAGCCCGAUCGGAGAUCCAACUUGGUAAACCACUAAGCUCCACCGAGUUGAUUGAAGAGAUCCGUGAUGAGCAAGAUCGGGUACUUGUUCUUCACGGUCAGCUUGUUCAACGCCCAGUAGUCGAUGCACAUCCAGAGUGACCCAUUGUGCUUCUUUUGAAAUAGGACCGACACACCAAACCGAGCUCUGGACAGCCUUAUGCAACCCGCAUCGAGCAGCUCCUUGAGGUUCCUUCCUCAACUCUUCCAAUUCGAGGAGCGUCAUGCGGUAUGGCGCCAUGGCAGGCGAUCGAGUGUCAGGCACUAGCUCAAUUCAAUGAUCCACCUCUCUCUUGGGUGGCAAUUUCUUCGGCAACUCUAAGGGCAUCACGUCCUUGAAUGAGCCGAGGACUUGGGCUACCUCCGUCGGGACUUCCUUCCCUUCGCCCUUGUUGUCCUCGAUCUUCAAGGCAGCUAGGAUGGUCACUUCACCCUUCCUUGCUCCUUUGGUGAGGUGCAUUGCCAAGAUCAUCCUUCAAUCACGUUCCGACUCAUGAUAGACCAAAAUCACGCAUUGACAGUGCUUGUCCAACACGCAUAUACAUUCAGCGAAUGGCAAUAUAACAGCAUGGAUCUUAUCUAGAAAUUUUAUCUCAAUGACAAAGUCGUAGUCGUCAAGGGAAAUUACCUCUAGAGUCUCCUUGUUCUUCCAUGACCCGAGUUGUAGCUCCACGUCCCUCACAACACCGAUUGUAGGGAUUUCCUUGGAGUUUACUGUCUUGAGCCACUCGACUCCCUUGUCAACCCGUAGGUUAAGUCUCUUUGCGGCUUAUUUCGAUAUGAAGAGGUCGGAUGCUCCCGUGUGUUAGGGAAAUCCCUUAUGAUGUUUUGAAGAUGACAAAAUAAAUCAAAGGCUACUAACAUGUUUGAUGGUUGAGUAAUAGACCAUGCAGAUGAUAAAACAUGUAAAGGAUAUUGUCAAAGUCUGAAGACUAUCAGACUCAAGACUCAAAGUCUGAAGAAUGCCAGACUCGAGACUCAAAGUCUGAAGACUGCCAGACUCAAGACUCUAUGCUGAAGCUGAACCAGAAGACAGACUCUAUACUGAAGUUGAACUGGGUACAGACCUUAAAGCUAAAUCUGUUCAGAAGCAGAUAUGUUCAGACCCAGAUUGUAAAAUCUAGAGACUCAUAUUGUAAAGUCUCAAGACCCAGAUUGUAAAGUCUCAAGACUCAUAUCGUAAAGUCUAAAGACUCAGACUUUACAUCCAGAUUCGAUGAAUCGUAACUCAAGCCCAAUCAUACAACGGCUAGUGAUCUGGUUUGGAUUCCACAUCAAGAUUGAUUUGAUUGGUUCAAUCUAAUUGAUUGACGAUUAGAUCUUGAAGACAAAAACUUUCUACACGAAGAAGCUUUACUUAUGGAAACCAAGAUUUCGUUUGUAUGGGCGAUCGGAAUCAAUUUGGGAUUUUACCUUUGUCACUCAACGGCUACCAAAUCUUCUAAGAUACAGAGCUGUCCAAUGGGUAUAUUGGAAGACGAUUCUCCGGGAUACUGUCCAACGGUAGUUUGGAAGUGGAGGAGUAUUUAAGGAGAUCAUGGACCGAUGAGCAAGUAAGAGACGGAGCGUAGAAUUUAUAAUUCCAAAGUCUAAGCGACUUUAGAUCAUAUACUUGUCUCUUGAGAGCUUAAACGUUUGUAAUCGUGAGAGAAAUACCAAGAGAGUGACUUAGUGAGAUAGUGUGAUCUACUAAGUGUUUGCACUCGGAGUUGUAAUCUCUUGUUGAUUGCAUAGUGGAAUCCAGCCAAGAAGGCUGUUAUCGUGGGAGAGUGGACGUAGGCUUGGAUUAAGCCGAACCACUAUAAUUUCUGUGUUCUUAUUCUCUUCCCUAACUCCUUUAUUUUGUUCAUACUAGCACUCUCACCGUGUCCACGAGCGCACUCAUUGUGGACUCUCCAAUCUUCAAAUCCGCGAACAUCGAGCCUUUAGGCUCAUUCGCCUUCUUGGACUUGAUGGUGCAAAGGAGUCGCAGCGAACUCAACCGCGUUUCCUCCCUAGGCUCAUCCUCCUUGCAAAGGGCGGCUAGUUUGGCCUUGUUCGGGCAAUCCCGCACCAUAUGCGGACCAUCGCAAAAGAAACAUUUUUAAGAGCGUACCUUCCUUUGUCCUCCUCCGCUCGACUCCACAUGAGCUCUAUGAGGACCAAUCGGUGGUCUACCUCCGGUUGGGCGGUUGUAUCUCCCCCGAUCUCCCCCACCAGUAGCUUUGUCCCUCGGACGCAAGUCCGAUCAGGAUGUGGAUGGCACCUUGUAUUCCUCGAGCGAUUCGGCCACAAUCAUUGGCUAUUGUGAGAUCUCCCACGUUGCACCGCUUCAGCUCUUGCUUAGUCCAUGGAUUGAGACCACUCAUAAAUUGGUGAUAAGCUUCAAUCUUGUUCAUUGAAGGGAUUUGGAGUAGCAACUUCGAAAACCUCUUGAUGUAGUCGCGCACACCACCCUUUUGCUUGAGACGCUUCAGCUCGUCACGAGCUUCCUCUUCCGCAUAAGUGGGAAAGUAGUUCCGUCAGAACUCCUCAACAAAUCUACCCCAGGUCAUGAUAAGAUCCCCACACCUAUCAUCCGACCGACAACGCCACCACAACAAUGCAUUAUCGACUAAGUGCAUAGAUGCAGUGUUUACCCAUGAUUGUUCAUCAUUGAGCCCCAUGGCUUGGAAGUACCGCUCCAUAUACCAGAGGAGAUUGUCCACGUCCUUGGCCACCCACAAGCCCUGGAAUUCCUUUGGCUUCGGCAUGUCCACUCAUGGACCUUGCACGGUGAUCACCCCAUUCACACGUGCUGCUUCCGAUUCGGCAAGCUUACUCUUGAGCUCCACUAUUUUUGCGCGCAUGGCCACCAUCAUAGCCUCCAUGAGUUCGUACCGUUGCGCGAGUUCUUCCUGUAGAGUUCCUAGCAACUCGUGUCGGAGCUUUCCCAUGCCAGUCUUGAGCUCCUACACCUCCACAACGAGCUCCUCCCUUCCGGCGUCUACUCUAUCCAUGGUCUGGGUCAGGUCAUCGACUGAUCCUUGGACAUUAUUGACUAACAACUCUAGCUUCGCCAUCCAUUGUGCAAGAUCUCCUGUUGGAUCCCUUGAACUCGAACCACCACGGUUAUUCUUUCCCUUGGCAGCGCCCUUCUCGACAUUCCUCCCACGAUCUACGCAGUCACCACCCAUGAUAAACGCUUCAUCGGAUCAUGGAUCAGCCAUUGUGCUUUGAAUGAUCUUGCUUUGAUACCAUUUGUCACGGGCUGAUCAAUCACUCUCAAUUACUCGUAGGCUGACCCGUGCGGCCUUAGGAUUUUACCCCUAAGCAACCUUUCUCACACUCGACUCACAAGGAUCUUAGAGAGAGAAAACUCUAGAAAGAGAAGCUCUAGAUUGUAUUUCACUUGUGAAUGAGAUGAUACAAUGAGAGGGAGGAGACCCCUAUUUAUACAAAGAUAAGGCAAACCAUAUCCGUAGAUCUCUCCUCGAUCUAACGGUGGAGAUUACAUCUCCCUAACUACCAACUACCCACAUUUAUUACAUAUGAAUACAUUUGUCCGUCCUCAGAAGUAUUCCAAAAGACUCUAGAAAACCCUAGCACUUGGGGAUACAAGCUGAGGGUCGCUUGAUCCAUAAUCAUGUUACAGCCGUCCCGUAAGAACCUCUUGGAUCAUCAUUCUUUUAGGCCGUGACACAUGCCUCUCACUACAUCUAUUGCAAUCAAGAAGAUUUUGCUUUUUGUUACAUUGUGGAAGAAUCGACUUGAGGAGAACAUUGAAACUUUUGACAUCAUUUUCCUCACCUCGUUUUUCUUUUCCAAUCACACAUCAUUAACACAGUGAUUUAAAAAUAUCCACCUCGGGAUUAUUUUUAUUUCUUAGUAGCAUCAUCAAAAUCCUGAGAAUGAAUUGAGUCACGGCCUAACCAAGCAAGAACGCCAGGAAGUGUUCCUGUCGUUCGCGGUCAACAAGGAGCCCAAGGCAACAUUGCCGGCAGUCUGAGCUUUGGUUGGUAAGUUCCUUACUCUGCUGGUAACUUAUUAUCUUAUAAGUGAAACAAGUACUAGAAGGAAUCUUAACAUCACUAAAGCCAUGUUAGAUGAAACUUGCGCGCUCCUUGAAUUGAGCUACUUCAGUCUUAUGAAUGAAACCAGCAUUCUUUUAUAGAUUUUCCACUUUGUAUGCUCCCGGAGUCUCUCCCGCAGCUAGUUAGAACCAAAUUUGUGGACAGAUUUUGCCCAUGUCAACGCAUAUAUCUAGCCUUACAAUAGUAUUACUUGUUUUUGUUUCUUUUUUCUUAAAAUAUCUUAUUAGUUCUAUUUAUAUAUAUUCAACAAAGUUUGUUGGAAAAUCGACUUUGAAAUUGGGUAUGACAAUGAAGUGAGACUAUGAGGGAUAAUAUCACUUUCUUUAAGGAUUUAUUUGUCCACGAAGUUGCUAAUAGUCACUAGCAAAUUUCCUCUAGAAUACAACAAAGUCCCGAUAAAAAUACUAGAUAGCAAUUCUAAUAUUUCUCCAAGGUCUCUCAAGAGAAACAAUUCGAAAACUUGCAAAAUGAACCAUUUUUUUUGAAAACUUGAUGUAUUUAUAUCAGUCUUAACUAACAAAGACAUCCCUUCACGAAAAGUUGCAAAAUGAACCGGUACGAUUGCCAAACACCACUCAAGAAAGGUUGCUACUUGAACUAGUAUGUUUUCCAAACCACACUUUGAAAAGAUAUAAAAAUUCGGAAUAAAAAAUAAUUAAUAAUAACAAAUUUUAAUAAUAAUAUUCCGAAUUUAAUAAUUUCCAAAAAAAUGCUGAAAAAAAAUAAAUACAACCUUUAUAUCAACAAGAUAACCAUAUGGAAUAAAAUAAAAAGUUAGGGGAUUAGCACUAAUUAAACCAAAACCACGCAAGCAAACCAAGUACACCUAAUAAUCGCACAAUUAUUUGCGCAUCCGCACAUGGGUAUUAUGAGGUCUAGCUAACACCCCCAAACUUUUUUCUAAACAAACUAGAAAAACUCACACAUUAAGCGGGCCAUCUCAUCCUAACUUUCCUAUGUGGUAUAAGAAAGAAAAGUACUUUUGCUUGUUUUGCAAACAAACACCCAACAAAGGUUACAAAAUAUUAUCUUAUAAUAGUAUCGUUGAUAUUAAAUUUUUCUGAUAGUUAUAUCUUUAUAAAGUUAAUUUCUUUUUUCCCCCAUUUUCUAUAGAAAUCAACGGUGAAAGAAAACUUUCAAAUUUAGAAUACGGCGAGUCUGCACCACAAGCUUGUGGGGACCCUGAUAGUUUUCAAGGAACGGCAAGAAUUUCAAAGACUUUGACCAAACGUCAUACACGUUAAGUUGGAGACUUUAUGAGUUAUGGAGAAGAAGGCAGUGCCGUAGUUGAUUCAAUCCACGAAUUCGAAUAGAUUACUAAGUUACUUCGUUUAAAUUGAAUGUUUCAAUCAUAAUCGUAGACAUGCUCAGACGUACCAUAUGUUCACCCCCUCUAGAUGAUACCUGCUAGCCACCCUCAGAUUAUACUUCCAACUACGUGAUUUGCGGACUGGGAUUUCUUUGGUCUAGAAGAAGUGUCCCUCCUGUAUGAAUAAAAAAGUAGCAGAACUAUUGAAAUUGGGAUUCCAGGUCAACGAUCCACGACCUGAGGAUCAGCAAGUUUCAUAUGCUUCUCAUCAUCUAAUUUAGCAAAUAAGGUCUGUUUUGGUUGGAUCAAGUUAAAAUACUCUUCCACCAUGUCAAAUGCGAUUUUCAUGAAGCAAAAUGUCGAUGAAAAUGCUUUGAUAGUUGCAUGCAAUCCCUUCUGCGACGAUCAUCAACCCGUUCUCUCUUUGGAUACAUGUGAGGAAAUGUUAAACUUGACUGAUGAUAUAGCUUAUUUAAUUGGGACCCAUGUGAAGACAGUAUAAAUAAUAGCACUUACAGACAAUACGAGUACUUUCAUGAUUACAGACAAAAGUGAUCUUAAAUAAGCAAAAUCAUAUUGAACUCAUAAAAGAGCUUGGAAAUGGAGGUACUGGGACUUCAACAGCUCCUUCCAACAUCUGAGUAAUUUUCUUCAUGGUUGGCCUCAAAGCCGGGUUUUCCUGGAUGCACCACAAUGCUAUCAUCACAAAUCUUUCCACCCUCCUCAUGUCGUUUGAUGCCUCCUCGUCACUCUCC